rnacentral:lncRNA from 1 species
UUAUUUCUUACCUUUACUAAUACUCAAUUUUGACCCAAAAAGCACCCAAAUUUCUGCAAGCUUGGCCGACCCUCUCUCUCAAGAAAGAAAGAAAACUCUUCAAGUUUUAGGCUCCAAUCUUGCUCAAGUUGAACCAUCCAACCAUUUGAUCUUGCAAUUACUCCAUAAAACCCCUCCACUUAGUGAUUUUGAGGUGAUUGGUGAAGUUAUUUGGAAAGUUAAGGUGACCACUAUCUCUCUCUCUCUUGUUUCUAAGGUGAGUUGUGAAGAACCACCCUCCUUCUUUAAUUGAUGCUUAAAUCAUGCUUAGUGGUAGUAUGAGAUGCAAGUUUAUGGAUUAUUUCUUGAUUUGUGGUUGAAGUGAUGAAGUUUUAUUAUUUUUGGGGAUUUUUCUGUUUUAAGAUAAGCAUGAUUGUGUGGCUAUCUAUGAUGAUUGGAAAUGGUCUAUAAUGACUUAAGGAGGUGGGAAAAGUGAUUAAUUGCAACCAAUUUCUGGUUUGGAAGAAAUUUCAGAAAACUAGGGUUCUUGAGGGAGCAUUCUGUCCGAAAUUUUAGGUCCUAUAUAUAGGCCGAAUUGGCCUUGUCUUAAAACAUUAAAGUUGUAGGGAAUGACAUUUUAUAGGUGCCUACAAAAUUUCAGGUCAAUCGGAGUAGUGUAGAAUGAGAUAAGCCGAAAUUACUAUUGCUGUUCUGGUUUUACCCGAAUGUAAGAAUUGCGCCUGUAAUUGGUUGUUUUAGCUGGAAUUGCUUCCAAAUUGGUUAUUUAGGCCUUCUGAUGAAAUUUAGCCCUGUUUCUUAUCUUUCAUAUGGUUUUGGAAUUUCUGGAUUUGGACUUGUAGAGCCUGAGUUAUGAUGUUUCCGCUAGAAUGCGUUUUGGUGAAUCUGUUUUACAUUUUUGAUAUAGUAUCUUGCAUUUUUUACCUGGUUACACUCGAAACUGGGUUGAGUGACCUUCUGAAAUAUUGUAGCCCUGUCUCUUAUAUUCGAAACGGUGGGUCUUGCACCUUCAUCCGACCAUCGUAGUACCUUUGGUACCAUUACCGCAAAAUGACGUCAAAACCUGUUUUUCUGGUUUUGAGCUUAACUUUCAUUUCCGGACUUUUCCCUAGCUUGACUUGUACUAGUACUACUUGGAGCUUGCUGAAUGGCUAUUGGAUGAACUUAUUGUUGUGUGUGUACCUUUGGGUUGGAAUGUGGAAAUAAUGAAGCCAUGAUGGCUGGAAAAGUUAGCAAAUUUAGGGGAAGUGCUGUCCGAACUUUUAAAGGACUUGUUUGCAUUGAGUUUGUGAUUUAAGACUUGGAUUUGAGCAAGGCAAUGAUAUUUGAUGGAUGAUUUCUGAGCCAUGGAGGUGAGUGACCCUAAACUAUUUCCAAAGUACUUGUGAAAUGUUUCUUGCAUUAUGUACUCGAUUGCAUCUCAUGCGUGCUUGCAUGUGAAUUCAUGACAUGAUUUGGCUUCAAUGAGUUCUGGGAAAGUCUUGUGCUGGACACCAACGUCUCCACCAUUAUCGUGAGUUCGUGACAUGACGGAGCAAAUGGCUCCGGAGCUCAAAAAGGGGCUCCCUCCUAAUGUUAAUGUUAAUGUUAAAUGAUCUAUUUGAGCGUUGGGUGUUCAAGUGCUGUGAUUUCACCGGCUCACGAGAGCACUAAACGUACAUUUGAUCUCUGAAUCAUGACAUCAUCGAAAUGCAACAUUGUGAAAUAUAUUUGUUUAAUGAUUUUACUGGUUACUCGCUGAGCUUCUAGCUCACCCCAAAAAUGUUUUAUUCCCCUCCACAGGGCUCGUGGCGAAGGAAACGUUUGUAUUAAAGUUCUCCGUGUGAAUGGUUGGUAUCAAGGAUCAGAGUGGCGCAGUGGAAGCAUGGACGCUUCGCUUUUGAUAUGUAAUUAUUUAUUGGAGAAUUUGAUGUAAUAUUUGAAGUUUUAUCUUGUAAUCUGUUUGAGGAUUGUAGUGAACGACUGAGUCCCGGCGAGAGCUGGGCAGGCGGCCCGCCGAACCCUCUGGUUCGCCUUAGGGGGAGGUGGGGCCGUCACACAAUCAAACAUAUACAUCUUGAAAUUUAGCAUUUACAUACCAAAAGGGCAUACCCAAGUUGUCCAACAAGUUUAUACAAGUACGGUUUGCAAAUUACAACUCAACAUUUUUGUUUGGAUCAAAAUGCGCUUAGAGUUUGCUCAAAAAGAGCUAUUCAAAAUUUCAUUCACAUAAGCUCAACUCGACAACCAACAUUCAUGGACUUUCCAAAAGUGUUUAUAUUCCUGUAAGGAAAAUAAAAGGAAUAAAGUGAGUUUACGCCCAGUGAGUUACUAUCACUCAAGCAACCAAUUUCACAUAGACAUAAAGCGUUCAAUAAAGAAGUAAAUCCAGAUCACACAUUAACAAAACGGGUAAAAGGAUACGGACGGUUCUCAAGAGCCCCUUUCCUCGCUUGUAUACUUGAUCGGACUUCAUUGACCCUCCGUCAAUGUUUACAAAGUAACCAACCGUAGGCUCCAUUUUACUUCCAUUCCUUCCACCCAACAUUCCCCUACCGGGCCUGAACUCCAAACAGUGUAAAUUUGGUAAUACUCGAGUAUACCGGAAUCGAGAGUCUCAUACUACAGGAUUCCAUAUAACAGUCCCCAUGGCUCGUCAAUUUUCACGACCAAGCCCUCGCCGGCUCGAUCCAAUCGACUACCAAUGGGGUUGAGCUCAGUAGUAACAGUAAUGGCCGUUGGAUACUCGUCCAUAUGACACCCAAUCCAGUAUUUCAUGUACUAUUCAAGUACCACAGUUAACAGUCAUAUAUAAUACAAAAGGGGUGAGGGCGAUCAAGUACACCAUCACUUUAAUCAGUUUCACCGGUGCAAAUAAGCCUUCAAGGCAUCAAGUUCAAAUAUAACAAAGCCACAUUGUAAACAAUCAAGUGAGUAGUAUACUCACCAAGCAAGCAAAUGAUAUUUCAUGUACUUCCGCCCAAAGAGCGUCUUGAAUCACCGUCACGCCCUAAAAUUUCAAAUAGGCACAAUAAGACUCGAUUACAAGUUAUAAACCAAUUUCCACAUACUACCGAAAAUAAGGCUUCAUUAGCACGUAUAAGUACUAAAGUAAGCUAAGGAAAAUCCGGAAAUGAAAGUUAAGCUCUAAGACCUAAAAGAAGUUUUGAUGCCAUUAAGCGUAUUGGGCACAACUGUUACUACGAGUAUCGGAUAGAUGUAUACUAUACACCGUUUCGAAGCUAAAAGAUUGGGUUACAAUGUUGAAGAAGGCCACUCAGCCCAGUUUGUAGUACAACUAGGUCAAAAGAUCAAUAUACCAAACCAGAACUGCAUAAACAGGUUAAUAAACCGCAUUCUGGUUAAAUCAUCAUAAGUCAGGCUACCUAAGUCCAAUUCAAGUGAUUCAAAAUCCAUCCGAAAGCUAAGAUACCAGGCUAUAUUUCUUAAGAAGACAUCAACCACUAAAUCAAUCGUAUUCCCAAUCAAACUAACCAAUUACCAAAGCUGAUUACCAAGUUCGGACAGAAACAGGGCAACAGGGGUAUUUCAGUCUUUUCAUAGGAUACGUUGCUCCGAUUGGCCUGAAACCUUUCAGGUAACUAUAAAAUAUCAUUCCCUACAACUUUCAUGUUUUAACCCAAGGCUAAUUCGGCCUCAAACUAUGAGGAACAGUACCGGGCAGAAUGGUUGAAUUGAAACCCUAAAUCCGAAUUUUUUCGUUCAAUGCGGAAAUUUUCCGCAAACAACCACAAUUUAUGCAUUCUAGCUUCAUUCUAGAUCAUUUCCAACCAUCAUACAUGGCCACACAAUAGUAAUCAUAUGAAAACAGAAAAAAUCAUGAUUAAAUAGAAAAUGCACCAAAUUCUACCAAAAGUCAUGAAACAACACCUAAAAUCAUCACUUCACCUCACACAUGUCAAUAAUUAAGCAUUAUUGAGUUGCAAGAAAUGUCCCUUAGUUACUCACCUUAACAACCCAAGAACAAGAGCAACUUAGCACCUUAAUCCUCCAAACAACUUCACUAAUCACCUCACAACCACUCACUUAAGGGUUUUUAUGGAGUAAAUGCAAGAUUAAACGGUUGGUUUGUUGGAUUUGAGCAAGAUUGAAGCAAGAAAUUGGAGAGCUUUUCCUUUCUUUCUUCCUUGGAGAGGGCCGGCCACAAGCUUGAAAAUUUUGGGUGAUUUUUGGGUCAAUUUUUUGAUUUACUUGGUAAAAGGUGAAUAGUGGUCAAAAGUAAGACUUAAUCAUAUGGUGACACUUGUCACCCUAUUUAAUGCAUGCAUAGGCCUUUGUUUCCUCAACUCUAAACCAUAUGGUAUCUUCUAAUUAUCUCAUAACACCCGAUAAAUUAAACCCAAUAUCCAAAACUUAACCUAACUGGCCGAAUUUUACCGAACUUUCCGCACUAGCGGGUCCCACGUCCGAUAUACGUCCUUAAUUUCUGAAAAACUAACCGAUACUAGAAACAUCAUCUAAAAACUAUAUUUACUUAUAAAGAUUAUCUAGAAAAUUUUCUAAUAAAGAAAAUGCAGAAAAGCAUGCAAUUAAAUAAAAAAAACCUAGAAACCAAGAAGAUUUACGGGGUCUCACACACUUUAUACCGUUUUGAAGCUGAAACAAAGUUAUACAUGUCUUAUGAAGACCUCAACACCCAGUUUGUGACAGCCCCACCUCACUCUAAGGCGAACCAAAGGGUUCGGCGGGCCGCCUGUCCAGCUCUCGCCGGGACUCAGUCGUUCACUACAGUCCUCAAUUAAAUUACAAGAUAUAUCUCAAAUUUACAUCAAAUUCUCCCAGAAUUACAUAUCACAAACGCAGCGGAAACUAAUUCCCAAGCGUGGAAUGUACACGUACAUCCAUUCAAGUCCAAACAUUCAUACAAACCCAACUAUUACACAAGAGAAAUCCAAAACUCAAACUAUACAGGAGAUAAUCCAUCCAGCCACAUGAAUAAGUACUACAAGCACUUCCUUUGCCUCGAGCCCUGUGGAGGGGAAUAAAACAUUUUUGGGGUGAGCUAGAAGCUCAGCGAGUAACCAGUCAAAUCAGUAAUCAAAUCAGUUUCAUAAUAGUUCAUUUCAAUGAUGUCAUGAAUCAGUAAUCAAAUGUACGUUUAUUACUCUCGUGAGCCAGUGAAAUCAUGGUACUUAGACGGCCAACACUCAAGUUGAUCAGUUAACAAUAAACAGUGAAACAGGAAUAGGGAGCCAUUUGCUCCAGGUAAACAGUAAACCGUGGUGGAGACGUUGGUUCUAAGCCCAAAACAUCCCAAGAACUCAUUUAAGCCAAAUCAUGUCAUGAACUCACAUGCAAGCACACAUGAUAUGCAAUCGAGUAAAUAAUGCAAGAAACAAUUCAGAAGUAGCUUUGGAAACAGUUUGGGGUCACUCACCUCCCCGGCUUAGGAACCAUCCAUCAUAUAUCAUUGCCUUGCUCAAAUCCAUGCCCUUCAACUCAAACUCAAAGCAAUCAAAUGCUUUCAAAGAUCGGACAGCAUAUCCCCUUAAUUUCCUUACUUUUCCAUCCUACAAGCAACACCAUUUCAUCUCAAAUCAACCACAUACACAUCAUAGACUAUCAAAUACACCUUUCGGCACAAUAUCCAUAACUGAAGCUACACUUAUCGGAUUGAAAUGAAUCUUAUGGUGUUUUGAAGCCAAGACAUAACCCUACAUUUCUUAUGAAGACCUCCAAAGCCAAAUCAUGCAUUUUCUGGGUCAAAAAUGGAAGUUUCCACGAAAACAGAAAUCUGGGCGCGAAAUAGGGUUCAUGGGCAGUCAAGGAUAUAUCGGUCAUUUCACAUGAUACAGUGCUCGGAUUGAGCUGAAAGUUUGUACGAAACUAUUUAACACCAUUUGCUACAACUUUCAUGUUUUAACCUAAGCCUGAUUCGGCCUCUAACAUGCCCAAAUAAAUCCGACCAGAACAGGGCAAAUGUAAACCCUAAACCUGGAAUUUCCGCACAAAACUGAAAUUUUCCGCAAAUAACCGCAAUUAACGCACAAGAGAGCUAUUUAACACCAUUUAGAACCAUCAAUUCAAGGCUAACCAUAUCCAUCAUAGGAAAACAGAAAAAUCCCAAAAAAAACAGAAAUUUAACUAACUUCACUUUAAAUCAAGAAAUCUUCCACAAAAUCACCUCUUAAGCCAACACAAGUCACUAAUAAACCAUUGUUAAGAACAAAGAAUGGAUUGCUAGACAUGAUACCUUGAAAUCUCAAGAAAGGUGAUGGCUUAGAGUUCUUCUUCCCAAAUUAGCUCCACAAACAUCUUGGAAUCUCCUUAGUAAACAACUUUUAUGGAGUAAUUUGCGAUUCUAUCGGUUAGAACUCAAGAUUGGAGUAAGAAAUUGGAGUGAAAGAUGAAGAUUUUUCUCUCUUUCUUGCACUCAAAGUUUCUGCCAUGAGAAGGAGAAAAUGGCUUGAUUUUUGGUUAAAUUUUGGUUUUAGUAAAGUUGAGGUAAGAUGGUCAAAAGUCCAACUUGAAUCACAAAGUGACACUUGUCACCUCUUUAAUGCAUAGCUAUCCUUUUGUCUCUCCAACACCCAUCCAUAUGGGUAACCUCUAAUUAUCUCUUAACACCUAGUAUAUUAAUCCCGGUAUACAAAACAUAACCUAAUUGGUCGAAUUUAUCGAACUUAACGCCACUAGCGGGUCCCACGUCCAAUAUACACUCUUUAUUUCUCAUGAACUAAUUUAUACUAGAAAAAUGAUUGGAAAACUAUAUUCAUUUAUAAAAGUCUCUGGAAAAUUUUGAUAAUAAAAUAAAGUAAGAAAAAUGCACACGGAAAAAUAAAUAAAUAAAUAAAGAAAAUUUCCCUUUUCUUUUCUUUCGGGCGUCACAGACUCCCCCCCCCCUUAAAAGAAUGUCGUCCUCAACAUUCCAACUCAUACUGAUCAAGUCAAGAUAUCCCUCAAAAGUCAAACAAGCAUUUCCAAGCAAGCACGAAUAGUUACUAUAAUGCCACUUGUCAGAUUUUCAUUCCUACAAGAAAUCACUGAUAUGUCAAACCCGACCCACAGUCCGGCAUCUUAAACUUUAAGCCUAGGAUACACUACAGAGAUCUGAAGCCUAAGCUCUAUUACCACCUGUGACAGCCCCACCUCACCCUGAGGCGAACCAAAGGGUUCGGCGGGCCGCCUGCCUAGCUCUCGCCGGGACUCAGUCAUUCACUACAGUCCUCAAUUAAAUUACAAGAUAUAUCUUAAAUUUACAUCAAAUUCUCCAAGAAUUACAUAUCACAAACGCAGCGGAAACUAAUUCCCAAGCGUGGAAUGUACACGUACAUCCAUUCAAGUCCAAACAUUCAUACAAACCCAACUAUUACACAAGAGAAAUCUAAAACUCAAACUAUACAGGAGAUAAUCCAUCCAGCCAUAUGAAUAAGUACUACAAGCACUUCCUUUGCCUCGAGCCCUGUGGAGGGGAAUAAAACAUUUUUGGGGUGAGCUAGAAGCUCAGCGAGUAACUAGUCCAAUCAGUAAUCAAAUCAGUUUCAUAAUAGUUCAUUUCAAUGAUGUCAUGAAUUAGUAAUCAAAUGUACGUUUAUUGCUUUCGUGAGCCAGUGAAAUCAUGGUACUUAGACGGCCAACGCUCAAGUUGAUCAGUUAACAAUAAACAGUGAAAUAGGAAUAGGGAGCCAUUUGCUCCAGGUAAACAGUAAACCGUGGUGGAGACGUUGAUUCUAAGCCCAAGACUUCCCAAGAACUCAUUUAAGCCAAAUCAUGUCAUGAACUCACAUGCAAGCACACAUGAUAUGCAAUCGAGUAAAUAAUGCAAGAAACAAUUCAUAAGUAGCUUUGGAAACAGUUUGGGGUCACUCACCUCCACGGCUUAGGAACCAUCCAUCAUAUAUCAUUGCCUUGUCCAAAUCCAAGCCCUUCAACUCAAACUCAAAGCAAUCAAAUGCUUUCAAAGAUCGGACAGGAUAUCCCCUUAAUUUCCUUACUUUUCCAUCCUACAAGCAACACCAUUUCAUCUCAAAUCAACCACAUACACAUCAUAGACUAUCAAAUACACCUUUCGGCACAAUAUCCAUAACUGAAGCUACACUUAUCAGAUUGAAAUGACUCUUAUGGUGUUUUGAAGCCAAGACAUAACCCUACAUUUCUUAUGAAGACCUCCAAAGCCAAAUCAUGCAUUUUCUGGGUCAAAAAUGGAAGUUUCCACGAAAACAGAAAUCUGGGCGCGAAAUAGGGUUCAUGGGCAGUCAAGGAUAUAUCGGUCAUUUCACAUGAUACAGUGCUCGGAUUGAGCUGAAAGUUUGUACGAAACUAUUUAACACCAUUUGCUACAACUUUCAUGUUUUAACCUAAGCCUGAUUCGGCCUCUAACAUUGCCCAAAUAAAUCCGACCAGAACAGGGCAAAUGUAAACCCUAAACCUGGAAUUUCCGCACAAAACUGAAAUUUUCCGCAAAUAACCGCAAUUAACGCACAAGAGAGCUAUUUAACACCAUUUAGAACCAUAAAUUCAAGGCUAACCAUAUCCAUCAUAGGAAAACAGAAAAAUCCCAAAAAAAACAGAAAUUUAACUAACUUCACUUUAAAUCAAGAAAUCUUCCAUAAAAUCACCUCUUAAGCCAACACAAGUCACUAAUAAACCAUUGUUAAGAACAAAGAAUGGAUUGCUAGACAUGAUACCUUGAAAUCUCAAGAAAGGUGAUGGCUUAGAGUUCUUCUUCCCAAAUUAGCUCCACAAACACCUUGGAAUCUCCUUAGUAAACAACUUUUAUGGAGUAAUUUGCAAUUCUAUCGGUUAGAACUCAAGAUUGGAGUAAGAAAUUGGAGUGAAAGAUGAAGAUUUUUCUCUCUCUCUUGCACUCAAAGUUUCUGCCAUGAGAAGGAGAAAAUGGCUUGAUUUUUGGUCAAAUUUUGGUUUUAGUAAAGUUGAGGUAAGAUGGUCAAAAGUCCAACUUGAAUCACAAAGUGACACUUGUCACCUCUUUAAUGCAUAGCUAUCCUUUUGUCUCUCCAACACCCAUCCAUAUGGGUAACCUCUAAUUAUCUCUUAACACCUAGUAUACUAAUCCCGGUAUACAAAACAUAACCUAAUUGGUCGAAUUUAUCGAACUUAACGCCACUAGCGGGUCCCACGUCCAAUAUACACUCUUUAUUUCUCAUGAACUAAUUUAUAGUAGAAAAAUGAUUGAAAAACUAUAUUCAUUUAUAAAAGUCUCUGGAAAAUUUUGAUAAUAAAAUAAAGUAAGAAAAAUGCACGCGGAAAAUAAAUAAAUAAAUAAAGAAAAUUUCCCUUUUCUUUUCUUUCGGGCGUCAACUGUUACAGCCCCACCUCCCCCUAAGGCGUACCUAAGGGUUCGGCGGACCGCCUGCCCAGCUCUCGCCAGGACUACGGAGUUGAUUUACACAAACCCAAUAUAGUAUGCGCGAUAGGACCCAAAGAAAAUGAACAAUCGAAAACUACUAAGGUGAGAACAUGACCACCAAACCAUAAAAUCAUAGUCUCAACGGAACACAUUUAAUAGACAAGGUUAAACACUUAUACAUAUAUGUACAUUGGAGUCUUGCACAAUUUAACAUACAGUGCAAUCCGAGGUAUUCGUACUACACAAAAUACAAUUAAGGCUUCGUUUUCAAAAGAGCAAGUACAAUUAGGGUUUCCAACCAUUGAGGAGCAAUACAAAAUAUCUAAACUAGCUCAACUCAUGCUUCAAAGUCACAGUUCCAAGAAGUGGUUCCCUGUAAGGAAAACAAAGGUAACAGGAAGGGGUGAGCUUUCGCUCAAUGAGGUACCAAACAUAUAGGGGUAAAAUCAUGGCCUUUCACGUUUAACCAAUCAGAUACAUAUACCAGAUAUAAAGGAAAGCAGAUUAGACACAAUGAUUCAAAGGGAAGGAUACAAGUGGCUCUCAGGAGCCAGAUUUCCAUCUGCAGUACUUGAUCCGAACCUGUUGACUCUCCGUCAACGUAAAUAGAACCAACAUAUCUGUAGACCCCACUUUACACCAAUUUUCCGUCCACCAAACAUACCCCUACCGGGCCCAAAUGUGAGGCCCCAGUCCGUUCGUAAGUUGAUAUUAGGAUUAUUCAUUAUUUUGUACGGUUAAAUUAAGGUUUUAGGGCUAAGGAGAAACCCUAAUCUCGGCUAAGAUUGAAAACCUUGCUUAUGACAAAACCCUAGUUUAUGUAUUAUUCGUAAGCUCGAGCUAUAGUUUAUAUGCGGUAUUCUAGUGUGUGUUUUGGCACAAGUAAAAAUAGGAUUCGUUAUAGUUUUCAGAGGGUUAACAAGUUUGAAAAUGGUUGGCAAACUCUGGAUUAGCAAUCCUCUAGUGUUACAAUAUUAGAAAGCUUAAGUGGAGUUUUAUUUAUCGCCCGCCUUUUUCCACAUUUUCUUUAUUAGAAAAAUUCCCCAGAUAAUUUUUAUGAGUAAAUAUAGAUUUUAGAUUAUUUUUCUAGUAUCGGUUAGUUUUUGAGAAAUUAAGAACGUAUAUCGGACGUGGGACCCACUAGUGCGGUAAGUUCGGAAAAAUUCGGCCGAUUACAUUAAGUUUCGGAUACUGAGUUUAAUUUAUCGGGUGUUAAGAGAUAAGUAGAGGAUGAGAUGUGAUUGAUGUGAGAGGAAACAAAAGGAUUGGGAUGCUUUUAUGGAGUGACAAAUGUCACUUGGUGAUUGGUUUCACUUGUUGGACACUAUUCACCUUUUUGACUUUUCUUACCAAUUGAAUAAAUAUCUCAAAAAUCACCAAAAAUUCACUCUUGUCUUCUCCAUUGUGGCCGGCCACCUUGAGCAAAGAAGAAAGAAAACUCUUCAAGGUUCUUGCUUCCAUCUUGCUUAAGUGUAAUCAUCCAACCAUUUGAUCUUGUUUCUACUCCAUAAAACCUUUCCAUUUGGUGAUAGUAAGUGGUUUGGUGAAGUGUUUGGGGAAGCUAAGGUGACAAGCAACUCUCCCUCUCUUGUUUUACUAGGUGAGUAGUGAAUGAACCUUCUCCUUCACUUAAUGAAGCUUAAUUUGUGCUUAGUGGUAGUUAAAAUGUUGAAUUUUGUGGUUUAUUUCUUGAUUUUGGAUGAAGUGGUGAAGUUUUCCAUUUAUUGGUGAUUUUUCUGUUUAUAUAUGAAAUUGAUGGUGUGGCCUUGUAUGAUGAUUGGCAAUGGCCUAAAAUGAGGCUAGUAGGUGUAAAUGAUUGUUAAUUGCAAGCACUUUUUGGUUUGGAGGGAAAUUUGGAAGACUAGGGUUUCAUACCCUUCAAUUCUGUCCGGUUUUGUAUCUCCUGGUUAGAGGCCGAAUUGGCCUUAGCGUAAAACAUGAAAGUUGUAGGAAAUGACAUUUUUGAGGUGCCUGAAAAAUUUCAGGACAAUCGGAGUAGCGUAGAAUGAGAAAAGUCAAAAUUACCCUUGCUGUCCUGUUUCUACCCGAAUCUGAGAACUGCGAUUGUAAUUGGUUAUUUUGGUUUGGAAUGUUUCAGAAUUGGUUGUUGAGGCCUUCUGAUAGAAUUUAUCCCUGUUUCUUAGCUUUCAGCUGGUUUUGGAAUUUCUGGAUUUGGACUUAUGUAGGCUGUUUUAUGAUGUUUGUACUAGAUUACGGUUUGUGAACCUGUUUUGCGAUUCUGGUGUAGUAUGUUACAUUUUUGACGUAGUUACACUCGAAAUUUGACUGAGUGGCCUUCUUCAACAUUGUAGCCUCUUAAGUCCUGAAUAUGCCUGUAAAAUUUCAGGUCAAACGGAUUAGUGUAUCAUGAGUUAUAGAUGAAAUACUCAAGCCUGUUUUGAACAUCAGGUUCUGUGCGUUUUUAGUUUAGCUUCUGCCCGUGACUUUUUCGGUUUUGAUACCGUACGAUCUGGGUGGUGACUCCUUCAUAAGAAAUGUAGAUCUUGGUUUUGGCUUUGAAACGGUAUAAAGUGCGUCGAAAUCCGAGUUCCGUAGCUCCUGUUAUGACCAAAACAAAAUCGAUCGUCAGAACUGCCUUGAAUCUGGACAGUUCUGACGAGUACUUUGACACUCAAAUUUCGUUCUGUUCUGAGUGGAUUCAGGUCUUGGCCAAAACAUCAAAGUUUUAGCCUUAUGUCUCAGCUUUCUAAUGCCUUUAGAAUUUCCUGAUUUGGAUUUGUGAGCUGGGAGUUAUAGUCCAGCAAACAUACCCUGUCCGUUACUCUGGAGUGCAAAUUCCUGGAACGGUUUUCUGCACUUUCGACCUAUUUCUGUUCAGAUCCGGAUUUAGGUGUCUUCGUGAAAAUUGUAGCCCUUCCUCUUAGCUUCGCAACGGUACCUCAGUACCUUGAUCCGACACUCAUAGCUUCGAUUAGGCUCAAAACAGUUUUGACGGCAAAAUGGCUAGGCCGCCAUUUCCGUUUCCGUUUUGCCGUUUCCGCACUUACAUGUGCCGAUUUUGCCGUUUUGCUUGUUUUAGGCAUAUUAGUAGCCGUUUAUGGUAUUUUGUGACGCAAUCUUCUAUUUCAGACGGUGGUGAGCUACGUGGAGCCGGUGGGGCCUACUAGCUACUCUUCGCGGCACAAAUUUCGAAUUUUGCUCUUUUGUUCGUUGUGUAAGUAUUCAGGCCGCUUUUACGUGUUAGUUGUUUAUGUGUUUUGAUAAGUAUGAAAAGGGUACCUAGGCGAGGGUGUACUUUAUCGCACUCGACCUAAACCCUAGUUUGCGCACAUAUUUGUACAUGGCUUGUGUAUAUGAGCAAUUUUGGAACUAAACCCCUUGAGCUUGUGGCUCGGGGUGACUUUUGAAUACAUUUUGUGAAGUUUGUGAGUUUGGGGCCCGAUCUCAAUCCUAGAUGGACUAUUCGAGCCGGUUAGGGCUUGGUCGAAGUCAGUCCAACCUGGUUUGAGGUCACCAAGUUUGUGAAUCCGGUUCACCGAUUAUGUGGACCAAGUUUGUGAACCGAGCUUGUGAACCAAGCUCAAUUUCGUUCGCUCGAGCAAGUUUGUGAGGUGCCUGGCCAGAGAGGGUGAUAAGGUGUACGGUGGGGGUAUAAGUGAAGUUCUACGGACCAUUAUUUGAGGUCGACGGAGUGUCGGCAGGAGGUCACACACGGCAAACGAUCUGGCUUUGGAGCCACCUGUAUCCUUAUUAUGUGAUGUUACUUUUCUGCUUUUGCUUUACUCUUACUGUGUAACUGUUGUACGUGAAAUUUAUGCUUUCGCCCCUGUUUACUUACUAAGCAUAUAGCUUACCCCUUCCCUUUUGUUUUCCUUAGCAGGGGCCGACGCGGGGACUUUUGGCACGUACCCUAGCAUAGUUAGGUUUGAUUGUAAUAGUUGGACAUAGUAUGUUUGUUUUUGUUUUAGUUUUGGUGGUUUGUAUAAGGACCCUCCUUAGGGUCUACAUUUUGGUUUUGGUUGUAGUGAUAAGGAUGUAAUAGUGUGAGCAGGUACUUUUGGAGAAUGUAAUUAGAACUUUUGGGGAUUGUAUAUAAUGUAUAUAGUGCUCUUUCGAUUUCUCUAGUUUAUUACUUUAAGUUUUGAGUCCUGGCGCGAGCUAGGCAGGCGGCCCGCCGAUACCCUUGGGUUCGCCCUUGGGAGAAGUGGGGUCGUCACACCAAACGCCGAACAGAACAGAAGUGGUAAUACUCGAGUAUACCGGAAUUAAGUGUCUCAAUACCCAAAGAUUCCUGAAACAGACUACUGUGGGUCGUUAUCUAAUCGACCAGGCCCUUGCCGGCUCGACUCGAGUAACUUGCCACAGGUGUUGAGCUCAGAAGUCACAGAAAGGUCGUUGGAUACCAGCCUCCUAACGACGUCCGAACAGACUCAGAAACAGAUAACAGAUUACACACAGUAAAUAGGCAUAUGGACAGACAAGAGAACGAGUGUGAUAAAGUACACCCUCGUCUCAAACAGAACAAACAGAUAGUACAGUCAUUUAAAUCACAUAUUGCAUGUGCAGAAACCAAGUUAAGCAACAAAUGAGGGGAGUGGUACACUCACCUAUUAAGGCAAAAUAACGUCCAGAAUAUCUUUCCGGGUAACACUCUCAAUCACCGAUGAACCCUAAGGUUAAUCAAGAGAAAAUAUUACAGUUCCUCCAACAAGAGUCAGGUGAAUUGAAGACAAUUCAAAUACCACUAGUACAAAGUAUAAAUAUGAUUUUGGAAGUGAAAAGAGUACAUUUAAACCGAAGGACAUGAGUAAAAUAUUUGGAAAACUUAUGCUCGCUCGAAAAACUUUGAAAUAUCAAUUUGAGUCGAAGAAAGGAAGAAAACGUAUUUCUAUUAGUCGUAAAUUUCAUUUUUCCUAGUCUACAAGUUUUCACCAGAUUCGAACUUAUAUACCUCGAGAAAAGAGGACGCAAAUAUCCUAGAUGGUUCAUAUGGUACUCACUCUCAAAUCGUUACCUAAUCCUCGAGUGUAAAUUUGGGCAGCACGCCCUUUGUAUUCAUCUAUUUUUCAGCCAUUUAUGGCUUCAUUAUUUUCCUCAAUCAAUCCCAAAGUCAUACACAAUAUAAUCUCAUUUCACUAGCCAUUCAAUAGGCUCAAAGUGGUACAAGUAUAAAUUCAAGCUAGGACAAUGUCCGGAAAUGAAGUUUAUGUCCUAAAACCAAAAGACAGUUUUGACGUCAUUUAGCGGAACGGACACAACUGGGGCUACACUUAUCAGAUUAAUGUUUAAUUUACACCGUUUUGAAGCUAAGGAAAAGGGAUACAAUGUUGAAGAAGGACACUCAGUCCAGUUUUCAAUGUAUAUAGGUCACAUUUACCAAAACAAUCCCAGAUUUUCCAAUUCGAAGUUUACUGUGGCAGUCCUGAUUCAUUCUGUCAUAUCUCAGCAUAUACAAUUCCAAUUCAAGUGAUUCCAAAGCCAUUUGGAAGCUAAGAUACAAGGAUAUAAGUCUUAAGAAGACAUUGAGAACCAAAUCAGUAGUAUUCCUGGUCAAAACAACCAAUUACAGAAGCUGAUUAUCAGGUUCGGACAGAAACAGGGCAGCAGGGAUAUUUCUAUCUUUUCACAGGAUACGUUACUCCGAUUGAGCUGAAAUUUUGCAGGAAACUAUAAAAUAUCAUUCUAUACAACUUUCAUGUUUUAACCCAAGUCUAAUUUGGCCUCUAAUUAGGGGAAACAGUACCAGGCAGAAUGGGGGUUAAUUGAAACCCUAAUUCCGAAAUUUCCUUUCAAAGCGAAAAUUUUCCGCAAAUAGCCACAAUUACGCCUUAAGGCUUCAUUCUAAACCAUUCCCAACCAUCAUCCAUGGCCACAUAAUAAUAAACAUAUAAAAACAGAAAAAUCAUGAAUAAAAUAAAAUUUUCAUCAAUCUCCACCAAACAUCAUAAAAGCUUCCACUAAAACAUCUCUUUAGCUAUCACAAGUCAUGAAUUCACCAUUAUUGGAAAAAAACAAUGAAUAUUUGCACACCAUACCUUGAUAACUCACAAAAAGUAGUAGCUUAGGUCUCUUGCUUCCAAAACAACUCCACCAACUUCCUCAAUCCUACCUAGCUAGAAGGUUUUAUGGAAUAAUUUCAAGUUUGGAUGGUUGGAUUGCAAGAUUUGUGCAAGAAAUGGAAGUUGAAGGUUGAAGCUUUCUUUCUUUUCUCUCCAUAUGGAGUUCGGUCAAGGAGCUUGUAAAGAAGAUGAAUUUUGGGUCAAUUUUUGGUGAUUUAGUAAAGGUGAUAAAAUGGUCAAAGUCCAAGCUCCAAUAAAAAAGUGACACCUAGCCCCCUUUUAAGCUUAACCUUAUCCUCUUGUCUCUCUAACAUUAAUCCUUUUAGGUAAGUCCUAAUUAUCUCUUAGCACCUAGUAAUUUAAUCCCUAUAUACGAAACUUAAUCCAAUUGGCCGAAUUUUAUCGAACUUACCGCACUAGUGGGUCCCACAUCUGGUAUAUACUCUUAAAACCUCAUAAACUAACUUAUACUAGAGAAAUACUUUUAAAACCCUAUUUACUCAUAAAAUUAUUUACAAAAUUUUUCCUAAUAAAGAAAAUAUAGAAAAGGAAUGCAAUUAAAUAAAAUGAAAUCUAGAAAAUAAGAAAAAUUCACGGGUCCUCACACAGUUCCUUCGUUAUCAAUGUGAACUGAGCACGGUCAGAAGCAAAAACCACAAACGUCACCAAAUCCAGCAUUUCACAUAGUCAUUAGUGUUUUGGUCCUAACUCAGGCUACACGGAUCGGAUUGGGCUGAAAUUUUGUAGGCACAACAAGGACUUCAGAAACUACAACUUUCAUGUUUUGGGCAGAGCCUGAAUCAAUACGUAACACAAAGAAAAAUGUGGCCAAAGUUCAGAUUAUGGACUGCCUUGUUUUCCAGAUUUGAACGGUUUCGCAUGCCGCAAACGCAUGGUCCGUUUCUAUGGUACUCAUGCAAGGUUUUCCAACCAAUAACAUACCAAAUAUACACACAUAUACUAACUUCUAAAUGACCUACAAAUGGGCCGAAACUUUCCCUCUAAGUCACCAUAAAAUUACCAAACACUAACCAUAGUCCCUAACCUCACUUCAUUUGCACCAAUGAACUUAAUCUAACAACCUACUAACCAAACCCUAACCAAUUAAACUCUAGCCAAGCUAAACUAACCUAAUGGAGACUAGGGUUUCAUGGUCCAAAUCUGAUUUUCUAAGAAUCAACCAUACAAGUGAAAUUAAUACAUCAAAGACUCCAUUUACAAGCCAAUUACUCAACCAAACCAACUAAGGAAAGUAUAAAGCAAGAAGCCCUAAUUCUCCUAGCCUUAAUCAAAAUUUCAGCAGCAUUAUCACCAAAUUAAACCAUGAAAUUACUCCAUAAUCACCAUAUACUCACCAUAUAAACCAUAAAAGAGCACAACUACAACAAAAGCAUCACUUUUCAUGGUUUCAAGACUUAAUCACCAAGAGUUAACUUUCAAUUAAGAUGAUUUACCUUCAAUCAAGUCUUGUUGGUGAUCAAUCCACAACAAUCAAGUGCUCAAGUUGCUACCCCAAGCUCCACAACCAAGAUGAGUGAUUAAACUUGAAAGAACUUGGAAGGAAUUUUCUCUUUUUCUUCCCUCUCAAUCUCGGCUCUCUUUCUCUUUCUUUUCCUUUGGUUUGUUUUGUUUUUUGUCUUAUGAUUAUCUUACAAAUCCUAUGGUGUAAUAUAAGUCAAAGCUUAUGGAAGAUAUUUUCCUAACAACCAAUCACAUAAAAGCUUAAAUUUUGCUCUUAGCCCUUACAACAACACUUUGUCAUUCUUACUCUCUUGCCCACUAACAUUUGGAAGUCUUUCAAUCAACUCCAUAGAUUGUAUACUUAAUCUAGUCUAAAAUCCUUAACCACACUUACAUACUUCACUAAUCACCCUCCUAUCUUAACCACCUAUACUUAAUCAUACCCUACUUCACAUAAAAACAACUAAACAACAACUUUCUUGUCAAAGGCAAAAUUAAGGGUUUUAACCCCAACUUAGGGUUCUAAUAAAUUAUAACACUAGAGGUUUUACUAGUUUAGGAUUUCCUAACCUUUUUAACUUACUUAACCCAUAUAAAAUGGAUCAAAUUCUAUACUAAAAUACACACUAGCAUAACUAACUCUAACUACAACUUAAACUUGUGAUUAAUACAACAACUAGAGUUUUAAUCAUAACCCAAAUUAGGGUUUUCCAAUUAACCCUAAAACCCAAAUUUUACCACACAAAUAAUUAGCAUCACAUAAUAUCCAACUUAAGGACUAAUCGGGGUCUCACAGACUAGGCCCUUGCCGACUCGGCUCGAGUAACUAACCACAGGUUUUGAGCUCAGAGAUCACAGAAGGGGUCGUUGGAUACAAACCUCCAAACGACGUUAGAAUAGACUCAGAUAUAGAUAACAGAUUCCAAAUGUACCCAGUAAAUAGGCAUACAAACAGACAAAAGAACGAGUGUGAUAAAGUACACCCUCGUCUAAAACAGAAUAAAUGGAUAGUACAGUCAUUCAAAUCACAGAUUGCAUGUACAGAAACCAAGUUAAGCAACAAAUGAGGGGAGUGGUACACUCACCAGUUCAAGUACAGAUACUUCAAAAGUUUUCACCCAGAGUGGCUUUAAUCACCAAGAAACCCUAAGAAUAACCAAAGUAAAACAAUUGAAGUUUUCACAUCCAAAAUGGAGUAAACGGAAUGCACAAGUGAGGCUCGACUACAAGUCGUAUGCCUAUUCAAAUGACUACAAAUACAAAGAGAUAAAGGUGUGGUUUCGGAGUAAAACGGUAGCUGUUGGUUCUACAACAUGAACAAACCCCAAAACCCUACAUUUCUAUCAAAAACCAUACCUACAAUAAUUUACUGUGACAGCCCCACCUCCCCCUAAGGUGAACCAAAGGGUUCGACGGACUGCCUGCCCAGCUCUCGCCAGGACUCAGUCGACUCGUUAAAAGAAAUAAAAAACGUUCAGGAAGGUAAUAGCGCGAUCAAACGAUUCAGAGUCGCCAAAAGGCAAAACGAAAAUCAACACCACAAUGAAUAGUAGUUGCCACAUCACCACCCAGCCAGGAGCCCAACGAAUACAGAUAUGGCCAUAUGACUCGGGAAAACAUUUCCAAUCCAAAUAGUAUACAUGAACAGGGUAAUUAGUUAUAUACACAUACGUUUGUAAUUUACGGAACAAAAGAAGAUAAUUAGAUCAAAAUACAUUUAGGGUUUUCCAACUAUCGAGGAGCUUUACAAAAAUAUAAUAAAACUAGCUCGACUCGUGCGUCAAAACAUCUUAGCCCCAAAAGUGGUUCCCUGUAAGGAAAACAAAGAUAACGGGAAGGGGUGAGCUUACGCUCAAUGAGGUACCAAAAUAAUAGCAAAUAAGAAACAUGGAACUUCAUACUCAAUUAAUCACAUAUGUGCAUCAAAUAAAGAAGUGAACAAACACCAUAGACAGAAAGGAUACGGGUGGCUCUCAGGAGCCAGAUUCCCAUUUGCUUCACCGAAACUUGAUCGAAAUAACAGUUGACACUCCGUCAACAUUACAGAAGUAACCAAUACCGUAGACUCCAUUUUCUUCGACUCCUUCCAUCUCACAUACCCCCACCGGGCCCGAAAUCCAAUCAGAUCAGAAAUGGUAAUACUCGAGUAUACCGGAAUCAAGGGUCUCAAUACCCAAAGAUCCCAAAACAGACUACCGUGGUUCGUUAUCUAAUCGACCAGGCCCUUGCCGGCCCGACUCGAGUAACUGGCCACAGGUGUUGAGCUCAGAGGUCACAGAAAGGUCGUUGGAUACAAGCUUCCAAACGACGUCAGAACAGAUACAGAUCUAGAUACAGAUAACAGAUACAGAUACAGAUAGCAGAUUCAGAUACGCACUCAGAUUCAGACAAGAGAACGAGUGUGAUAAAGUACACCCUCGCCUCCCUUUUAUCAAAACAGUAUUUGGCUCCAACAGUCAUAAAUCAAGUAUUUCAGAUAUUCAGAUAUUUCACAUAACGGGUAGCAGGUAGUGGAACACUCACCGGGGUCAGUACAGAUACCUCCCAAAAGAGAGCUUUAAUCACCAAGAAACCCUAAAAUAAUCCAAGGAAAACAAUUGAAGGUUCCACUUUCAGAAAUUGAGUAUACAGAAUGCACAUGUGAGGCUCGACUACCAGUCGUAUGCCUCGCCAAAUAAUUACUAAUGCAAGGGUGCAGAACAGGAUUUUUGGGAACGAAAAGGUAACAUGAAGACCUAGGCUCAAACAACCCAAAAGCCUUUCAUAUCUACCAAAAGGCAAGUCAAACUUAAAGGAACCAAACGGCCUAGAAAAUUGGACAGCAUUUCCCCUAAAUUUGCUUACUUUUCCAGCCGUCAUGGCUUCAUUAUUUUCCUCAGCCAGUCCCAAAGUCACACACAACAUAAGUUCAUUCACUAGCCAUUCAGUAAGCUCCAAGUAGUACAAGUACAAUGCAAGCUAGGGAAAAGUCCGGAAAUGAAAGUCAAGCCCUAAGAUAUUCAAAUAAGCACAAUAAGACUCGAUUACAAGUCAUAAACCAAUUCCAAAUACUACCAAAAUAGGUCUCCAUAAGCAUACAUAAGCAUUAGAGGAAACCAGAAAAAUCCGGAAAUGGAGUUAAGUGUUAACCCGAAAAAAAUAGUUUUUGACAUCAUUUUGCGGUUUUGUUACCAAUGGCACUACGAUUAUCGGAUGAAGGUGCAAGAUACACCGUUUCGAAGCUAACAGAUAGGGCUACAAUAUUUCAUAAGGUCACUCAACCCAGUUUCGAUUGUAACCAGUCAAAAAUUCAAGAGACUACACCAGAACCGCAAAAAUAGGUUCACAAAUCGCAUUCUGGUGCAAACAUCAUAAAUCAGCCUACCUAAGUCCAAAUCCAGAAAUUCUAAAGCCAUCUGAAAUCUUAAAAACAGGGCUACAUUUCAUCAGAAGACCUCAACAACCAAUUCGGAAGCAUUCCUAACCAAAAUAACCAAUUGCAGAAGCAAUUCUCAAAUUCGGGUAAAACCAGGGCAGCAAGGGUAAUUCAGUCUUUUCUCAAGCUACGCUACUCCGAAUGACCUGAAAUUUUGGAGGCACCUCUUAAAUAUCAUUCCAUACAAGUUUCAUGUUUUAAUCCAAGGCCAAAUCAGCCUAUAACUAUGAGCUACAAAACCGGGCAGAAUGUAAUUCCAAGAACCCUAAUUUUCCAGUUUUCUUUCUAAAACAGAAAUUGCUUGCAAUUAACUACUUUUUCCACCUUCUAGCUUCCUUAAAUACCAUUUCCAAUCAUCAUACAUAACCACAUAAUCAUAUUCAUAUGAAAACAGAAAAAUCCCAAUAAUUAUAAAACUUCAUCAAUUCAACCAAAAUCAAGAUAUAAUCCAUAAAAGUGCAUCUUAUACUACCACCAAUCAUGAUUUAAGCAUCAUUAGAGGGAGGAGAGGGGUCCUUCACAACUUACCUUAGCAACACAAGAGAGAGAGCAACUAGUCACCUUAGCUUUCCAAACAACUCCACAAAACACCUCAAGACCACUUAACAAAGAGAUUUUAUGGAAUGAUUUGGAGUUUUAUUGGUUGGAUUUGAAGAUUGGAGCAAGAUUAUGAAGUAGGAAGUUGGAAGAUUUUUUUCCUUCUUUGAGCAAGAGAAUUCGGCCAAGUGAAGCUUGAAAUGAAGAGAUUUUUGGCCAAUUUUAAUUAAAUGGUAAAGUUAUGAAUAGGAGUCCAAAGGUCAAAAGGUAAGAAUGAAUCUUCAAGUGACACUUGUCACUUCAUUUAAUGCUAAUCUAUCCUUUUGUCUCUCCAACUCUUAUCCAUCUAGGUAACUUCUAAUUAUCUCUUAACACCUGAUAACUUUAACCCGGUAUACACAACUUAACCUAAUUGGCCGAAUUUUAUCGAACUUUCCACACUAACGGGUCCCACAUCCGGUAUACGCUCUUAAUUUUUCAAAACCUAUUCGAUACUAGAAAAAUCAUCUAAAAACUAUAUUUACUCAUAAAAUUGAUCUAGAAAAGUUUUCUAAUAAAGAAAAUGUAGAAAAACGUGGAAUUAAAUAAAAAAUAAAACCCUAGAAAUUAAGAAAAGUACGGGUCCUCACAUUUACUAACUCCAAACUUAAGGUGGAAAAUGAGAGUAAGGACAAUUUUAGGAAAACAGGAUUUUCCAGUUUUACGCACCACCAUUUGAAAAAUCAUAUUUCAAGAUUCUUAAGUCCAAAAUUGAUAAAAUUUAUACCGUCGGAAAAUAGACUCAAAGGGGUCCAAUUUCUCAGAAUACACAUUUAUAAGGUUCAGAUCACAAGUCAGUCAAAUUCGAGUCUCAAAUUGCUGUUUUAUCCAGUAAAAGACAGAACAUGUAUGCAAUUUUAGUUAAAUUUGAAAAAUCACCAUAAAUUGUACAGACAGAACCAGGGUCUGAAAUUUUCACGGUUUACAGUUCUAUGAAUCUAUUUUAAAACGCAAUAAACGAAACUCAAUUCUGAUAUUUCUACAGUAAGAUAUAGUAAAUUUCCCAAAACUGCUCAAGGGUUCCUACGAAAAUUUCAGCAGCACUUCCCUUGUUUUUCUUUACUUUUCCCACCUAACAUCAACACCCAAUCUCAUCUCAUUUCAGCCACAAUUUCCCAUAUAAAUCACAAGCUAUUGAACACACCUAAUUAGGGUCACAAUACCCUUCAAAUACAACCAAAUAGGAGCUCAAAUUAAAAACCCUAAAGCUAGAAUUUUUGCACCCAAGCUUGAAAUUUCUUUAGGCAAGCAAAACUAGCAUACCAAAGCUUUAUUUUUCACAAUAUAAAGCUAUCAUUCUAUAAUCAACCAUUACUCAUCACAUGUGGGCAGAAAAAUCACCAUAAAAACUGAAAUUUGACAUAACUCUAGCUCAAACCAUGAAAUCUUCCACAAAACAACAUCUAUAACAACUAUAAGCCACUAAUUUACCAUUAUUAAAACAAAGAGGGAAUUUCUAAGCAAAGUACCUUGUAUCCUCAAUAAAGAUGGUAACUUAGAGCUUCUCCCUCCAAAAUCACUCCACUCAAUCCUUUAAUCCACCUUAGUAAACAACUUUUAUGGAAGGUUUUGCAAAAGUGAUGGUUGGAAAUCAAGAUUAGGCAAGAAAUUGAAGUUGAAGAUGAAACUCUCUCUCUUUUUCUUUCUCUCAAGGUGGCCGGCCAAAAAGGGAUAAGAAAUGGGAAAUUUUUGGUCAGAAUCUGAUUUUUGGGAUAGUUAAUAACCAUGGUCAAAAGUCCAACUACCAAUCGGGUCGCGACAUUUGGCACUUUUAGGGUUUUAAGCUUAUCUUCCUUCUCCCAAAGGUUAAUCUAUCUAGCUAACCUCUAAUUGUUUCCUAGCACCUUGUAAAAUAUUCCUUAAUACAAAACUUCAAUUAAUCAUCAAAAAUUUAUCGCACUUAGCGCACUAGCGGGUCCCACGUCUACAAUGCACUUCAAACUUAUCAUGAACUAACUUAUACUAUGAAAAAUGAUUUAAAACCUAUACUUACUUAUAAAAAUCUCUGGAAAAUCAAUAUAAUAGGGUAGGAUAAACAAAAUGCAUGUGAGAAAAUAAAAUAAAAUAUUAUAAACUAAGGGAAAUUUACAGGUCCUCACACUCUUUCCCCCUUAAAGAAAUUUCGUCCUCGAAAUUUUCUUAUCAACGGGAUCUAUCAAAAUCAAAGGUAACCAACGGAUCGUACCUUCUACGUCCUCAGACGAGUCAGGAACCUGAUAGUGUUCUAGAGAGUACACCUGAGUGGGUACCUUUGAUCCAGUCCCUUCCCCUUUCGAGUGUCCAGGGUUAGUCUUAAUUGGUUGUUGGGUCCUUUUCCCUUCGCGCAGUCGAGCUGGACAGUUAGCAAUCCUAUGAUCGGCACUUCCACAGCGCAGGCAUUUUCCCUCUUUCUUCCAACAAUUCGCCUCCGUGUGAUUUGGCCCUCCACAAUAUCCACAGGGACCACGAGUAGCAGAGACCGAUUCUCCCUGUGAGACACCACUUGACACCCCCAGUAGUCGUACUCCCCCGUUUCCCUUUCCCCGUCACUGUUACACCCCAUUACCGGGCCCGCUCAUUAAUAAUUUUUUUUUUUGAUAAUACUCGAGUAUAUCAUGGCAAUACUGCACGAGUAAUGCUGAGCAAGAUCUCUCCAAUAGAUCAUGCUCUACGAAUAUCUCAUGGUUUGCUAAGCUUGUCGACCAAGCCCAUGCUGGUUCGAUUCGCAAAGUUAGCCAAUGAGUUUGGACGUCCCCCGAAUACGAAUGCAAAUACGAAUACGGAUAUAAGUCGAUAAGCAACGCUCAAAUCGACGAUUCCAAAUAGGAAUCACAAAUACGGAUCACAUAUAUGAAUCACAAAUACGAAUCACAUCCACAUUACUAUGUACAAGUCGAAUAUGAAUUCACAUAGCAAAAUUCAAAUAUAAGUUCAUUCGAAAGAGAGCGAGUGCGAUAAAGUACACACUCGUCUCAAAUUUUCAAAUUCACAUAACAGAUAAGAACCAAUUAACCAUUUAGCAACAAACUCAUGCACUUGACACUCACCAAGUAUUAAGUGCAAGUAGGGUCAAGGAAAGUUCAAGCGUCCACCGUGGGAUCCUCUUGAAGGUCCUCGUGUGCGCCUGAGCAAAUAAUAGUGAAUUAUUAUUCACACAACCCAAUUAUCGAGAAAUAAUUCGUGCACUUUUAUAAUCUAGGGAAUUUCGUGAAAAGGAACCUUAAUUACUUGUAAAUCGAGGUUCGAGUGGCGUUUCAUAAAGUACAAGAGCAUUUGGGUUUUUAUCUUGGAAAUUGAGGUUAAAACGUUUGCAUAAUUUCAAAAGAAUAAAGAGUUCUUGGAAAACUCUAUUUCCUUGAAAGUUGGAAAAUUUCAGUUUUGAUAUGGAUCUUUGAAAAAUCGUAUCUCACUCGAUACAAGUCUAAAAUUGGAAAACUUUAUACCAUUGAAAACCUCUUGGAAAGUACUAAAAGUUUUUAGAAGACACUUUUCCACGAAUCUAAGUGAAAAGUACUCAAAAAUGAGCUUGAAAUCACUGUUCCAGAAUGUUCAGGAUUGAGCUGGGGUUGGUUUUUCGCUAAUUUUGGAAAUUCGGCAGAAUUCACUCGUUGCAAACCAGCCCUUGAAAUUUAUAAAUCAAUUAGAGGUGCAAGUAAGGUUUAGGACAGAACAAGCUGAUUGAGAAUCGGAGUUUCGAGCACCAAGAUAUGGUAGCUCAAAGUUGGGGAAAAUUCAAGACUGUUAAACAAUUUCCAGAUUUGGGUUUCCGACUUUGGACCUUUAGUUAAGUGUCGAAAAGGAAUUGGAUUGGUGCCAAAUUUUGUAGUAUAGUACUCCUAUAUGAAGGGUAUCUCUCUAUCAAAUUUCGUGGAAAAAUACCUUCGGGAAGGUGGUUAACCAAUCAACCAAAGUUUUGAAAUUACUAGGGCAAAACUGCCUUUAGCUCCAUUUCUCUCCGUUUCCAAACAUUCGGCUAAGGAAAACCACCAAACAUGGUUCAUUUGUGCAAGAAAAGUCUAAGGAACAUACAUGGUACAUUUGGUAGGUGUUUAGCACCAAGAAAUUUAUUUAGUAAGACCACAACAAGUCUCACAUCAAAUCUGUCCAAAUCCAAGGGUUUUCAAGAACAAGGCGGUCACCGUAUUUUGAUCAUGACUCACUCAAUUUAACUCAGAAUUGAGCAUGGUUGAUAGUGUUGGAAAAUAAAUUCAUAGGGCUAUAAGUUCACAGAAUAAAUCAUUUUAAUAUUCAGCAUGCAACUGGCUCGAAAUUAAGCCUAAAGUUGCAGCAUCAUCAAAUCGUUCCAGCAGAACAGAGAAACAGGGCAACCUUCUUAAAACGAUUGGUUUGGCUCACAAACUUGGAACCAAAAUGUCCAUUUUAUACCGUUGGAAAGGUGUGGAUGUCUAGUUUCAAAUUCCACCAACGGAACUUGAUUUCGACAUCGGAGGACAGAGUUACGGCCAAAACACUAUCGCGGGUCAGAGCUACACGGAAACAGUUUUCCAGCUUGACUAGUUUCACAAAGAAAUUCAUUUGCCCAACCAAACCUCAAUAUUUUCCAAUGAAAAGUUUUACACAACUAAUACAACAUAUAAAAAUCAUAUUCAAGCCAUUAGAUCAUAAAAAAUUGGCCUUAAAAUAACCGAACAAGGCAGGGGCAAAAUCGGAAAUUUCUAUCCCAUGAGUUCCUUGAAGUUUCUGCUAAUUAUACACCAUUAAUCCACCAUUUCAAACACUAAACCAACAUUAUAAAUAUCAUCAACCACAAAAUCAGCAACAACCCAAGAGUGGGAGUUCAUAGAGCCCACUUUCCAAUUUUUCCAACAAUAUCAAGCCACCCACAUGAAUAUUCAAGCUCAUAAGUGUAAAUUAACUUCCAUAGGACAAGAAUUUGAGAGUGGAUCAUUACCUACUUUGGUUGAUGAACCUAGCAGAAUUUUGGCGCUUUUCUCAGCUCAGAAAAACCGUGGAAAGCUCCUCUUUUUUGUAGCUAAAUGGACUCUCCAAAUGUUAAGCUAAGUAGAGUUAAAAUUUGAGAGGAUUUGGUCAUGAUUUGGUGCAAGAAUUUGGAGUAGAAUGUUGAACAACUUUGGAUGGUUUUGUUCCUCCUUGUAGCCGGAUGCCUUUGUGAGAAAGAGAGGAGUGUUUGGUCUGAUUUUUAGCUUGCUAAGGAAGCUUAAAGACUAAGAGUUUAGGUGCACAAAAGUCAACCGUAAAUAGUGCGCGUACGCGCGCGUUUUGUGCUCGAUUCCUCUCGAGUUUAUUUCACUAGUGUAUUAAACCUCUAAUGCAAUUGUAUUCAUACUAUUAUUAUUCACUCUUAAUGGUCUAAAAAUAAUGGUCUUAAGUCCCUCAAUUAAUCGCGCGCGUAAAACGCGUACUUCCGAUUUGUGCGCGAUAAAGUGAAAUUUUCAAGAAUUUCUUAUAACGAUAAUACUAAUAACUAUCACUUGAGCACUUAAACAUAAAAUUACCUAUUUUAGGACCACUGUGUAAGUAUCUAAUUUUUCAAACUUAUUGUACUCUCAAUCGGUUAAAAUUUUCAAACACUUUUUUCACUAUUUUCACUAAACAAGCUUCCAAAAUUAAAUUUUGAAACGAGUCACUUUAAAAAUGUAAUUGAGUUAUAGACCCAUGUAAUUAGGUCUAAAGAGCGUAAAAAAUAAUAUUCGGAGUAAAUGGCCAAGUAAAUAAUUAAAUAAACUAGAAAUAGGAAAUUUAAAUAAAUAAAUUUUGCGAGUCCUCACAUGAGUCGAGUGUUAAUUCCUCAAUUCUCAAAUUAACUUUUCUUAAUCUACUAUUGAUCAUUCUUACUUCUCCAAAAUUAAUACACUCUCAAUUCAAAUGUAGCCUCGAAAAACGUGUAUUCGUGUUCCGAACUAAACGAGUUUUUUUAAAAAAUAAUUUUUCUAACAAAACGCUUUAAAAACAUAAGAGAGACGUUUUUCCAUAUAAAUGGAUUUUAAGUAGUCGAAUUAAAUAAUUCGGAGAAAAUGAGUGAAAAUUUUCGGAUCCUCACACCAAGUGUAACGAAACAAAUGGAGGGUGGACUUUGACACUAUUCCCAACUUUACUAAAUAUCAAAUUUGACUCAAAAACCGUCUUCUUUUGCUCCAUCUUGGCUGAACCUCUUAAGGAAAAAAAGAGAGAAAACUCCAACUUUUAUCUUCCAUUUCUUGCUUAUAUCUUGAAAUCCAACCGAUUACAUCUUGAAUUUGUCCACAAAAGUGACUUGCUAAGGGAGUUUCAAGGUAUUUGGGGAGUUGUUUUGGAGGAGGAACCCCUAAGCUACUACCUUUCUUGAGGUGUCAAGGUAUUUUGUUUGGAAACUCACUUUUGUUCCUAAUAAUGGCAAAUUAGUAGUUUGUAGUGGCUAAAUAUGCUAUUUUAUGAAAGAUUUUGUGGUUUGAGGUAGAGUUAGUUAAAUUUCAGAUUUUAUUGGUGAUUUUUCUCAUUUUAUAUGAUAGUUAUUGGUUGGCCAUGAAUGAUGGCUUGAUAUGGUGUAAAAUGAAGCUUUUAUAUGUUAGUUGUGGUUGUUUGCGGAAAAUUUCAGUUUUGUGCGGAAAUUUCAGUUUUAGGGUUCCAAUCUGCCCUGUUCUGACCGGCUUUAUUCGAGCAUGUUAGAGGCCGAAUCAGGCUUAGGUUAAAACAUGAAAGUUGUAGCAAAUUGUGUUAACUAGCUACCUGCAAAAUUUCAGCUCGAUCGAGCACUGUAGCAUGUGAAAUGACCGAAAUACCCUUCACUGCCCAUGAGCCCUGUUUCGCGGACAGAUUUCUGUUUUCGUGGACAUUUCCAUUUUUGACCAUGAAAAUGCAUGAUUUGGCUUUGGAGGUCUUCAUAAGAAAUGUAGGUAUAUGUUUGGCUUUGAAACGCCGUAAGAUUCAUUUCAAUCCAAUAAGUGUAGCUUCAGUUGUGCUUAUUGUGCCGAAAGGUGUAUUUUAUAGUCUAUGAUGUGUAUGUGGUUGAUUUGAGAUGAAUUGGUGUUGCUUGUAGGAUGGAAAAGUAAGGAAAUGUCGGGGAUAUGCUGUCCAAAUUUUGGGAGUGUUGGAUUUCCUCGAGUUUGGUUUGGUUUGGGAUAUAUAUAAGUAGGGCUUUCGGGGUUGUUCGAGCCCUUGGUCUUCAUGUUACCUUUUCGUCCCAAAAUCAUGUUUUGCACACUUGCAUGAGUAAUUAUUUGGUGAGGUCUAUGUAUUGUAGUCGAGCCUCAUUUGUGCAUUUUAUUUAGUGGAUUUGUGGCUGUGGGAACCAUAAUUGUUUACCUUGGUUAUUCUAGAGUUUCUUGGUAAUUAGAGCCCUACUUUGGUUGAAACUUUUGAAGUAUCCUUGCUUUAACUGGUGAGUGUACUACUCCCCUAAAUUAUUGCUAAACUGGUUAUCUGUACUUGCAAAUUGCUAUUUGAAUGUCCUUACCGACUGUUUAUUUUGUACGAGACGAGUGUGCACUUUAUCGCACUCGUUCUCUGGCCUGUGUGACUUGUUUCUUGUAUAUACUUGAAUCUGUUACCUGCGCCUGUUAUAAUGUCGUUUGGAAGUGCAUCCAACGACCUUCCUGCUAAAUCUGAGCUCAAUCUCAUGGGGAGUCAAUUGGAUCGAGCCAGCAAGGGCUUGGUUGAGAAAAUUUGACAAUCCAUGGAUGCCUGUUCCUGGGAAAUCUUUGGGUAUUGGAGACUCUAGAUUUUCGGUAUACUCGAGUAUUACAAUUCCUGUUCUUGUUUGGCGUUCGGGCCCAGUAAGGGGUAUGUUUGGUGAUUGGAAUUUUGGCGUAAGUGGGGUCUACGGACGUGUGUGUCUCAUUAAACGUUGACGGAGGGUCAACGAGGUUGGAUCAAGUAUUGCAACGGGGAUUUGGCUCCUGAGAGCCACUUGUAUCCUUUAAAUUGUGGUGUUCGUUCAUUUCUUUUAUUUGAUGUGUAUAUGUGUCUUAAAAGUGUUUUCUCAUGAUUUCUACUGGUUAUACUUUUGGUACCUCAUUGAGCUUCUAGCUCACCCCGUUCCGUUAUCCUUGUUUUCCUUACAGGGGACCAUCUUUUGGACCAAUGAUCAUUUUGAAGAAUGAAAUGAGCUAGUAUAAAUACUCUUUUGUAUAGCUCCUCGGGAGUUGGAAAACCCUAAAUGUACCUUGAUCCAAAUAUUUCCCUUUUGAUUUGUAAAUUACAAAUGUAUGUAUAUAAAACUGUUUAAUCAUGUUCAUGCCUUAUAUUUGGUUUGGAAAUGUUUAUUCUCUGGAGUUAUAGAACGUUAUCUGUAUUCGAUUGGGUUCCGGCCGGAUUGUGACGUGGCAGUCACUGUUCAUCCGCGGCUUGUUUUCGUUCCUCGUUUCGUUUCUUUUAGCGGUCGUUGUAGCGCUCGAGCGCUGUAUUAUCUUUCGGAACAAGUUUUUCAAGAUGUGAUUAGUUAGUAGUCCUGGCGGCACUUCCAUUUCGUUUUGAUUUUUUUUACGUGGGACCGUUGUACCAAAGAUUGAUUAUAUCUCUUAGUUCGGGUCAACUGGGUUAUAAAUGUUUAUCUUCUCAAACUUCCUUUGAGCGGUUGGUAGGAUUUACGUUUGUUCCCGAUCCGUAGUCCCGACUAGAGUUGGGCAGGCGGUCAAGCGGUCCGCCGAACCCUUUGGUUCGCCUUAGGGUGAGGUAGGGCUGUCACAGGUGGUAUCAGAGCCGCUUCACGUGGUCUCUGCACGGAGUGAGCUUGGGGCCAAGUGGUGUUGUGGUCUCGCUCAUGUGAUUGAGUAUAAGGGACUAAGUACUCUUUUGAGUAUAAGCUAUGAAUCACGAUGUAUUCUAGGUUUCAAAACAUUAUUCUGGUACUUGGAGAAUAUAGAUACAUAUGUCAGGUAGGAAUUACAAAUGUAGAUGAUUUACUCUUGGGACUGGCCAGCUCGAGUGGUGAAUUAUCUUAUUUUGGAUUCUUGUACCCGAAUACGAAAAGGGAUGAAAGCCUAGGUUAGAAAUGACUUGGGCGAAUUAGACGUCUAAUUCUACGGAACUUUAUAUGAUGUGCGGAUGAUUAACCCUGCCUAAGAGAGAAAUUGUGAUUUCUUGUAGAUUAUGGAUGGAACCCUAGGGGAGGGAGCUUUUCGUUAGUUGCUUUUGUACUCUUGGUCUAGUUCGUAGUAUGUACUAUUGAGUGACCCCCUUACUUUCAUAGGAUUUCCUUUGCUUGUAUCUGACUGACUGUUACUGUGUGAUUUGUUUGAUAUAGUCGUGUUAUAUGUAUAUUUGCUUUUGAAUUGAUGUGGACGUAUUAUAUGUAUGUCUGACUAACUGACCUCGCUAGUUUGUAUCUUGUAUUCGCGCCUCGAGCCUAGAUUAGUUAAUCCAAUGGAAGGAACUCAUAGUGGAUGAGGCCGGGGCCAUGGAUGUAGGCAACCCUCGAAUGAAGGGGGAAAUCCGGAACCAAUGCCUGAACCCAACCCCGAACCUGGAGUGGAUCCUAACGUUCAAGUAGCUGCGGCUGUCCAGCCCAUGACUGAUCUUUUAGCUCACCUAGUCGAGCAUCAGGGCCAAAACCCUACUCCUCAACCUGGAAACCCUGGUAACCAUAUAGAGGGGGAAGAUAGGGCCCUUGAACGAUUUCAGAAGUUCUCCCCACCGAAAUUCCUUGGAGGACCAGACCCUGAUGUGGUCGAGCCGUGGCUAGAGAAGAUGAUUGAUAUUUUUGCGGCGUUGCACUAUGCGGAGGAAAGACAAGUGACAUUUGUUGUCUUCCAACUGGAGGGAGCGGUCCAUUCUUGGUGGAAUGUUGUAGACACCAAAUUUUUGGUGUAAUUUCAUUUUUAGUUUUUUAUUUGUCGUGUUCGUUUUUUAGUUUUAGUUUCUAGUUUUAUUUUUAUUUUUAAGUUUUAUCAUAGAAUUUCUUGGAAAAAGGGAAAGAGAAAAAGAAAAAGCAUUCAAAAAAAUAUGAUUUAGUCAUUUGUAAUUUAAAUUCAAUGCUUUCUUGAAAGUGAAAAAAAAAAAGAAAAAAGUGAAAAAUGAUGAAAAAUGAAAAAUGAAAGAAAAAGAUUGAAAAUGGCAAUUUUGUUGUUUUAGUUUGUUUAUUUUGAUGUAAAAUUGUUGUUUUUUUUUUAUUACUUAGUUUUCAUUAUCAAUUUUGUUUUAAUUAAUUUCAAAAAAAAAAAUAUAUAUAUACGCUAUUUGCAGCUGCGUAUUGUCGCAGCUUGCAAGAGAGGACCUGGGCAGCUCCUUUAGCUGCAAUUUAGAGGAAAUGGCUGGGGGUUUUAGGGUUGAGUGCCUCAUAUAAAUAGAAUAGGAAAACAGCAGCCGAAAAGGGGGAAAAAGAUGGAAACACAGCAAAAGAAAAGGAAAGGCGGAGGUGACGGCUGAGAAAGGGAGAAAGGGAGAGAGUGUUUAUGCUUGGAAAGGAAGAGAGAGUUUCGAUAGGGUUCAGGCUAAACAAAACAGAGGGGCACGGCUAAAAAUCUAGAGGGAGUUUUAUAGGAGGGAGUGACGGCUACAAAUAGAAAGAGUGAGAGAAAACUGAAAGGAGGAGCUGGAGUUGCGGCUGCAUCUGGAAAAGAGAAGUUAUAGGAGGAAGACCGACGAAAGGAAGAAACUAGGAGGCUUGUUUUCCAGAAGUUCCAUAGAAGAUUGACGCCGGCUCAUUUCUUUUGGCUUCAGCCUUGUCAAAAAUCUUUAUCAGGUAAUCCAUUGAACUAAAGGUUGCACCUUUGGUCCUCCUCUGUGUGCGUGGGUUUGGUUUGAGAAUUCUUGGGAUUCCAAAAUACAAGAUUCAAUCUUGAUUGUUGCCUUGGGUUGGACACUUGGUACUUGUUCGGACUUUUGGCAUGAAACCCAGAAAUUGUAGUCUAGACAACUAGAAAUUCUGCUAGGAAGAUGCAUGAACCGACAUCUCUUUUGCCGCCGAUUUGUUGGGCUUGUUCCAUAGCUUUAUCAUGUUUACUUUUGAUGCUUCUUUUGUCAUUGCCCCUGUCCUCUGUCUUGUGUAGUUGAAGCGUUAGUUUGGAGUAGAAAUAUAUGAUGCAUGAUGAGUUGCUUUCUUAGAUGUUGUAACUUAAUGUUUUUUCAAAAAAAUGAAAUGAAGUUUCUUGCUGCAUUUUAGUAGUGGUUCUCGUUGGUUUGGCCUGGUUUCUCCCUAGUUUGAUCAAUGAAUGAGGAUUAUGUGGGUUUGGGCUGAUGAAAUAGCAAGUUGUUAGAGUUUUAUACAGACCCAAUCACACGACAAGAGCUGCGUAGUUCACAGCAGAAAUUCUGCUACAUUUUAUCAAUUCGGCUAGACUGCAUUGUCCUUCUUUUUUGCCGUUGUUUGUUUUGAACUACCAGGGCUAUGUUUGUUCAGUUUAGGGAGUGUCCAGACUUGUGUUACUUUGCAUGUAUACCCAUGAAUUGGGUAAGGAAGACAUGAAACUGUUAGCUGCAGAAUUUACAGCAAAGCAAAGAUUGCUGCAACCUGUUUUGUUUUCUUUUCUUUUCCGCAAACACUCACAAGCUUUGGUCACCUUAAUUUGAAGGUUUUGGUGUGAAAAGAGGCAGUGUUUAGUUUAGUGUUGAGUUUUGCAUGGUUGGGCCCAAAAACACUUGAGCUAUGGUCGAAUGUUUGCUGAAAAUGAAAAGUCAGAAUUGCCGAAUCCUUUGCCUAGAAUUUUCCAGCCUUUGCAUGAUUUUUCUUCUAUGUUUUGGUUUGUUUGAAUGUUGAAAUGGUUGUUAUGAUGCUUAGAUUGGUUUUGGGUGUUUGGGUCUAAACAUACUUGAGUUGGAAUUGAAUGCUUGCUGGCCACAUAGACAAUAGGUAGCUGGAUCGUUUUGCAUGAAAGUUUCCAAGAAAUUUGCAUCAGUUUUUGUUAUGUUUUUGCUUAUUUGCUGUCAAAGUUUCGGGCCUUGUGGUUUAGUUCCACACUAUGAUUUUGGUUAACAUUUUCUGUCUUUGAACAAAGCUAUCCUUUGGGUCUGAAAUUUGCAUUUGGAAAUGAAAGUCACAACUAGUUUUGUUGCCAAAAGAUUCCACCCUUUGCCAAAGCUUCCAAAUUGCAGCAAUCUUCUUCCAUCUUGCAUAAAGGUUUCAUAAGUGUUUGUACAAUUUCCUUCCAUGUUUUGCUUGUUAGAUGUGGAACUUGUUUGUUUUGUUGCUUAAUCCAAAGUUUGGAUAGAUGAAAGGAUUAGUCAAAGCUGCUUAGAAUUUGUGUAUGAGAUGGAAAUGCAGCCAGCGAUUGUUUUAACUUCAAGAUGAUGUUCAUUGCAGAAAAUUUUGUUUCCUACGUAUGCAUGCAUGCAAAUACUUCUGAAUUUAGCAUUUUGACCCCCCAAGUCUCCCUUCAUUUCACUAUGACCCAAUCAAUUAAAUAAUUUCAUCAAUUUGGUCCUUGGUAAUUUUAAUUUGUGCAACUUCAUUGCUUGUUUGCUUCAAUUAACUACCAUGCUUUGUCAAUUGCACUUAAGUCACGACUUUAGGGGCUUUAUGACCAAGUGAGCUUGUGUUUGCCUAUUUUUCCAAAUAAAUUGGUACCUUGACCAUUUCUUUUAUUUUGGAGGAUAAAUAAAUGAUUUCACUCCAUUUAGGACAUCAACUCAAGAGAGGUAUAACUUCUUUUAUCUUUUUUGUCUCUCCUACGUGCUCCUACGUGUUAUAUGAAUAUGCAUGUCUACUUUGCUUUCCUUGCCUUUACUUAAUUCCUUGCGUUUAUUUCAUUUACUUUUGCUUUUUAUUUAAGUUAUUCAUUAUGGGGUAUGUGUACACCUCUUGGCUUGUAAUAGAUAGGGCCUGGCGAGCAUUUUGUCCAUUUUUCCCUUCCCCUUUUGUUUUAGUUAGCAAAUGUAAUAGGUUCAUUGCUUGUUUUUGUUGCUACGUGUUUAAUCGCUUUAUUAGGCUCUUGCAUCUAGUCGAGCAUGCUAAAUGUUACGUGCUACGUGUUUAUGUGUAUUUGGUAUGUCUACUUGCUUUCCAUAGUGUGGAUGAAUGGAAUGGAUGAAUGUACGUCACCACACUAGUCCAACGCUAGUUGUGGCUUCUUUUAUCGUUUCCACUAGUCUAAUGCUAGUAGGAAUUCAUAGAAAGGGCUAGUCCAACGGUAGACCCAAUAGGAUUUUUCCUUUGUUUUUCAUUAAUGCAUUAUUUGCCUGUUCACUACAUAUCAUGCAUUUUUCCUUAGUUUUAUCAUUGGGCAUGCUCCUCAAUUCCCCUUUCCCUUCAUUUUAGGCCUCUUGCAUCUCAUGCUAGUUAUAGGGUCCAUUUUGUUUGAGAGUCCCCUUAAAUAUGGGAUAUAGACGAGUGUGGCUUUUUCCAAGCCUUAGCAUGCUUGUAUUCCCUCUAUCAAAGGGAAAAUUAAGUCACAAAGUUAGGACUCCCCGUUCCCAUCUUGAUGCAUUCCUAUAGGAUUCAUGCAUUUUUCAUUCACGAUCACAUACACUUACUUUAUAUUCUCUCUCUUUUUCUGCAUUCUCACUUCACACUACUUUUACACGUUUUCAUUCAACUACUCACACUCUAUACCAUAUCACUCGCACACAUGCACUUUAUGUUAUUUCCACAUCAUCAUUCUUUACUCACCUUACCUUGUAAGUACAUUUGCACACCUCCACUUACAUCCUAUUAUUUUUAUCACUUUUCUCACUUCACACAAACUCACAUUUUCACAUGACAUGCAUUCCACUCAUUUUUACGUCAUUUAGGAUUAUGUGUGACCUCUCCAAAGGAUCAUUAUUGGGCUUCACAAUUAAUGUGAUUGGCACCACUCAACCUUUGAAGAGAAAUUUCCCCUAUGUCCCCCUAGGUCUAGGUUGCAUUCAUAUAGUCAUAUCCAACAUGCGAUACAUACCUUGGGUAGAAAAAAUUAGGAAAGGUGGGGCUAAAUCACGCAACUAGCCUUGGCUAGGUCGAAGGGGUGCCUUGGAUUUUUAUCCUUGCCUUCCCCUUCGUCAAAUGUGACCCCCGUUCCCUCUUUUGGUUACGUAGACCCAAAAGUUCUCUAAAAGGGUUUAUUUACUUUUCAAAAACAAAAAUCAUUUUUGGGUGACUUGGUACACCCUAACUCUAUACCAAGUGGCGACUCCAUUUUUGAUACAAAAAACCCUUUUUGAACUUUAUAUGGCCAAACCGUCGCAUUAUUAAGUCCCAUGGCCUUUAUUUUCAUUUUGCACACGUUCACACACACUCACACACCACACACCAUCAAAAAAGUGGGGCGCGACAAAUGUAAUAAGAUUGAAAUGGGAAAGAGCACAAACACCGAGAACGUGGGCGAACUUCAUGAUAGAGUUCAACGCGAAGUAUUUCCCACCCCUAAUUCAAAAAAAGAAAGAAAUGAGUUCAUUUGACUUCGCCAGGGAGCUCAGACUGUCGCCGAAUAUGAAAGCCAGUUCACUAGGUUGUCGAAGUUCGCUCCCGAGCUGAUCGUGACUGAGCAAAGGAGGAUAAGGCGUUUUGUCUAGGGCUUAAAUGUUGAGAUUCAGAAGGAUCUAGCUGUAGCCCAACUGAGUGCCUUCAAUGACGCGGUGGAAAAAGCUCAACGAGUUGAAAGCGUGAGGUUGCAAGUUAGAACCUUUCAGGCGAAUAAAAGAGCUAUUCCUGGAAGUAGCAUGGGACAAGAGGAUACGAGUACACCUCCCAAGCUCGGAAAGGGAACUGGAGGGUUAAGAUUUCCUGGAAUGUCAAGUGAUGUUUCACAGAGAGGCUCGGGCUCUGCUUCCCAUGGUCCCUGCGGGUAUUGUGGAAAGCCGAAUCACACGGAGGAUGUCUGCAGGAAAAAAGGAAGAAAAUGUCUACGUUGCGGGAGUGCAGAUCAUCAAAUCGCUAAUUGCCCAGGCAGAUCUUGAGAAGGGAGUGGGAAUCGACAAUCAACCAAGACCAACUCUAACUAGUCGAAGGGGGAAGGGACUGGACCAAAGGUGUCGACUCGGGUGUAUUCCCUAGAGUCACAUCAAGCCCCGGACCCGUCUGAGGACGUAGAAGGUACGAUCCGCCAUUUACGUUAGAUUUUAAUAGAUCUCGUUCAUAAAAAAAUUUCGAGGAUAAAAUUUCUUUAAGGGGGAGAGAGUGUGAGAACAUGAAAAUUUUCACAUUUUACGGGCAUUAUUUUAUUUCUUUGCCUACAUUGUUAUUACUUUCCUUUAAACUAUUACAUUUUCUAUAUAUUUUAUAAGUAAGUAUAGUUUUUAAAUCAUUUUUCUGAUAUAAGUUAGUGUACGUUCAAUUUGAAGUGCAUUAGAGGCGUGGGACCCGCUAGUGCAUUUAGUACGAUAAAAUUUUUGACGAUUAAUCGAAUUUUUGUAUUAAGAGAUAUUAUUUUACAAGGUGCUAGGAAACAAUUAGAGAUUAGCUAGAUAGCUUAACCAUUGGAAGAUAAGAGGAUUAGAUCAAACCCUUAUAGGGCCAAGUGUCAUGAAACCAAUGGAGGGUGAACUUUGACAACUAUUCCCCAACUUUACUAAAUAUCAAAUUUGACUCAAAAAUCAUCUUCAUUUGCUCUAUCUUGGCCGAACCUCUUAAGGAAAAAAAAAGAGAGAAAACUCCAACUUUUAUCUUCCAUUUCUUGCUUAUAUCUUGAAAUCCAACCGAUUAAAUCUUGAAUUUGUCAACAAAAGUGACUUGCUAAGGGAGUUUCAAGGUAUUGGUGGAGUUGUUUUGGAGGAGAAACCCCUAAGCUACUACCUUUCUUGAGGUGUCAAGGUAUUUUGCUUGGAAACUCACUUUUGUUCCUAAUAAUGAUAAAUUAGUAGUUUGUAGUGGCUAAAAAUUACACGAAAAUUUGUAAUAAAAAUUUCUAUAGAAAUAGAAAACCAUGUGAUGCUCAAAAUAGGGCUUUUCUCCAAAAUUUCUUAGCAACUUAUUUAGGGCUUUUAUGGUUAAAUUUAUAAUUUUUCUUGAGAUCCAAUCACAAUACUUUAACCAUAGAUAAGUUACUUAUGACGAGAAACAGAUAUUAAAAAAGUUACUUAUGGCAAGAAGCAAAUAUUAACACCAUCAAAUAAUUUAAGAAUAAAUGUUACAACAUUUUUUAUCAAGAAAAACUCAGUCUUUCUUUAAGAACAACACGUAGAUUUGAUCACAUCAAUAUUUAUGUCAAUCAAACAAAUAUGUUACAUGGAUUAAUCAAAAUUAGGUCUUAUACUACUAUAAGGAAUCUAACAAGUAAUGCAAUAGAAAAGGUAAAAAUUUUUCAUUUCAUUUAGUAGAUCGUUCAUUGAUUAAUUCUAUCUAACUUCGUGAUAGUUUAAGAAGACUACCUCAAACUGUGAAGAUCUUUUAAAUUGACAGAUAUUUGAUAUAUGGGAAGUCUAAAAGAUGAUACAUUCUAUGCUCUAUUUAAGACAUAACCCGUAACAUGACAAGCCCUAAGGAACUAGAAUGGUUGAUACUAUUGUUUGGCAACGAAAACCUGUACGUUCAGGGAUAGCUCAAGAGUGUGUAGAUUGGGUAGACAACACCACAAUCAAGAUGAGUAUUUGAUUAAUAAGUUGAUGAGCACCUUAGGAACCAUUCUAAGAUGUUUAAAAGUAACUUUUAGAAGCCAAAAGAAAAUUUUCACUCAAGAAGCUAUUUGUUGGAAAAAUGGCGAAAGUCGUGUAUUAAGUUUCUAAGGUUCGGCUAUUUAUAGCCAAAUUACUAAGCCAAACGGGCCAAGACUAAACAACUUAAUAAACUAACAAAUGAACUAAUUAGGGCCCAACUUAAUAUAAGCUGGCUGAUUUUAUUCUCCUAACCAAAAGGCCCAAAUGAAUCAGAGAAUUAAGCAACUAAAAGGGAUCCAACUUAUAUACAAUUUGGCCCAAAUUUACGCCAUAUAAAUGACUACACUAAGCUCACAAAAACUAAGUGGAAAAUGGCUCAAAAUAGCAAAAAACUUGAUCCAACUUGUCUUAAAUUCAUGAACUAGGGUUUAUGUCACAGAUCCUUCGUCAACAUUUUCAAUGUGAAUCAAAGUUUUAGUUGGUUAAUGUUGAUUCUUUAACUCAACCCCUUCAAUAUACUUAUAAGCACCUUCUUGCUGUUGAACAACUCGAACCAAUGCUUGAAGUGAGUCUUUGAACUUUUUAGCUCAAGCUCACAUGACCAGACCAAAGGGAACCUUCACUAGAUCAAAACUUGAAGCUUGAACCUCACAGACAGCUUGAGCUCCCACAUCAUUUCCCUCCUCUUGAGAAGGAUUUGUCCUCAAAUCUUGUUCAUCAUCUUUUAGAAAAGGGCUUAAAUCAGCCACAUUAAAAGUAGCAUUUACAUUAUACUUACCAGGUUGGUCAAGUCGACAGGCAUUGUCAUUGAUUUUCUCCAACACUUGGAAAGAACCAUCACCCCUUGGUGAUAGCUUACUAUGCCUUUGCAAAGGAAAUCUUUCCUAGUGUAGAUGCAACCACACCCAAUCUCCAAGUUCAAAAACAACUUUCUUAUGUUCUCUAUUGGUUUGUUGGAUGUAUUGAGUAGUAUGUUUCUCAAUGUUUGUUGGGUAGUAUGUUUCUCAAUGUUUGCUUGAACCAACACGUACAACUCCUUGCCAUAGGUAGAAUAGUUGAGAAUUCCGGUAGGGAAUUGGUUUUCCAUCUUGCACCAACAAAGCUCCAAUUCCCACAUCUAAUGAAUCACAUUCGAUUUCAAAUAUUAGAUCAAAAUUAGGUAAAGCUAAAAGUGGUGCAUGCGUGAGUUUGUUUUCUAUCAAUUGAAACACUUUAUUAUGAUCAUCUCUGCAUUGAAACUUCUCAUUCUUCUUAAUUAUGGCUGUCAAGGGAGCAACGAUCAUAUUAAAAUCUUUGACAAAGCAUCGAUAGAAGCUAGCAAGUGUGACGACCCCACCUCCCCCUAAGGCGAACCAGAGGGUUCGGCGGGCCGCCUGCCCGGCUCUCGCCGGGACUCAGUCGUUCACUAAAGUCCUCAAAUGAAUUACAAGAAUAAACCUCAAAGAUACAGCACAUGGUCCACAAAUAUACAUUCAAGUCUCCAAUAAUUACAUGUCAUAAGCGAAGCGGAAACAAUUCCCAACUAUACAUAAAAUGAUUCCAAAUCCAAACUGUACAACAUAAAGGCCAUCCAAUCACGCGCACAAGUACUACAAGCCUUCCUUCGCCACGAGCCCUGUGGAGGGGAAUAAAAUAUUUUUGGGGUGAGCUAGAAGCUCAGCGAGUAACCAGAAAAAAAUAGUAGUCAAAUCGGUUUCACAAUAGUUCAUUUCAAUGAUGUCAUAAAUCAAAUGAUAAGUCCAGAAACAAUUACGACAUUUACAAAACAUUAAAUAUGGAGUAUCAAUAAUUCAAGAAACAUGUACAAUGGAAAGCGAUAGUAACAUUCAUGAAAAGAUACGUUCGUUCUCCUGUCAUUUCCUUUUUUUUUCAUUUGAAAUUGCAUCAUUUUCCACCAACCUCCACCAACCUACAAAGGUAAUACUCGAGUAUACCAAACGUUCACCCAGGUCCCUAAUCGCCCGACCGAGUCCGCUUCUGGCUCGAGACGACCGGUAACAAGGGGCAAUGGCCAGUUCAGCCCCAAAAGGCUUACAUUCAUGCGCAAGUAGCAUUUAAUCAUUAAUCAUGAAAAUUUCACAUUUAUUUAGGUUGAGUGCGAUAAAGUACACACUCGCCCAGAAAACUCGUUUUAACAAUCAUUGAAAGCACUUAAUACAUUAUCAAUCCAUAAUAACAAGCCAAUUAGUCAAGGAAAUAUAUCAAACAAGGAACGCUCUCAUAUAAGCACGCAUGAUAUGCAAGAAAACAGUUCAAAAGUAACUUUGAAAACAGUUCAAAAGUAAAUAAUGCAAGAAACGUUUCACAAGUACUUUGGAAAUAGUUUAGGGUCACUCACCUCCAUGGCUCAGGAACCAUCCAUCAUAUAUCAUUGCCUUGCUCAAAUCCAAGUCUUAGAUCACAAACUCAAUGCAAAUAAAUCCCUUCAAAGUUCGGACAACACUUCCCCUGAAUUUGCUAACUUUUCCAGCCAUCAUGGCUUCAUUAUUUCCUCAUUCCAACCCAAAGAUCACAUUAAACCAUCAUAAACUAGAGUCAUAACCCCUCAUUACCAACCAUCAUAAAUAACCACAACACCAUGAUCACAUUAAACCAGAAAAUUCCUCAAAAAAAUAAAAACUUCACCAAUUCAUUCCAAACCAAGAAAUAAACCACAAUUCUCAACACUAUAGCCACCAUUAGGCACAAAUUAAACAUCAUUAGGUGUAAGAGGAAGUGUAAUCAUCACUUACCUAGUAAACAAGAGAGAGGGAGUUGUAGAACACCUUAGCUUCCUUAAAAAACUUCACCAAACAACUUACUAGCACCUAAUGGAAGACUUUUAUGGAGUAGAAACUAGUUGAUGCAAUUGGUUUGGAAGAUUGAGCUAAAUGGAAGCUUGAAAAUUGGAGAAAUCUUCUUCCUUCUUGAGCUUAUGAGAGUCGGCCACCAAGGAGUGAAAAAUGGUGAUUUUUAGUCAAUUUUUGAGAUAUUUAACUUAAGGGUAAAAAGUCAAAAAGUCCAACCAAUGAGAAAGUGCCACUUGGCACUCUAUUAAAUGCAUUUCUAUCCUUUAAGUCUCUCUCACAUCAAUCAAAUCACCUCCUCUUCUUCUCUCUUAACACCCGAUAAAUUUCACUCAGUAUCCGGAACUUAAUCUUAUUGGCCGAAUUUUUCCGAACUUUCGCACUAGUGGGUCCCACGUCCGAUAUAUAUAUCCUUAAUUUCUCAAAAACUAACUGAUACUAGAAAGUCAUUUUAAAACUAUUUUUGCUCAUAAACUUUAUCUGGGGAAUUUUUCUAAUAAAGAAAAUGUAGAAAAGGCGGGCGUUUAAAAAAAAUAAACCCUAGAAAAUUAGAAAAUUUCCGGGUUCUCAAACUCAUUUUUUUUCGGGGCGUCACACAUGUACUUUCAUUUCUAUUUCAAACAUUCGUACAAUUCCACAAAUAUCAAAAGAUAUGAGUUUUAGAUACAUUCAGUUCUAAUCGAGCACUAGCGCGAGUACAAUCGUAAAAUUCAAAAACUACUAGACUACGCUAGCCUGUACCAGUCUCACGCCUCGCUCGUACCCCCUGUAAGGAAAACAAAUGGCGUGGAAUGAGCUAAAAGCCCAGUGAGGUUCCAAAUAGCAAGUUGACCAAUAUUGAAAAGUACAAAUAUCACGUAGCAAAAUAGCGAGCAUAUCAAGUUCAUGAAAGUGAGCAAUAACACUUCAAAUAGCAAAUGUCAAAAUGAGCGAGUGAAAACUCUUUUUGUUUUCCAAAAGAACAAUAACACUUCGAAUAACAAUCAAUGUAUAAGGAUACAGAUGGCUCUCAGGAGCCAAAUUCCCAUUUCUUCACCAGAGCUUGAUCAAGUAUUAGUUGACACUCCGUCAACUUUCAAGUAAAGUAACUAGUCCAGUAGUACACCACUUAACUCCAAUCACCGUCCACCAACCAAACCCCUUACCGGGCCCAAACUCCACAAAAAACACUGGUGGUAAUACUCGAGUAUACCGAUUAGUCGAGGAGAUAAUACUCCACUCGACAACAUUAGAUACCCAUGGUUCGUUAUCUAAUCGACCAAGCCCUUCCCGGCUCGACUAGAUUAACUAACCAGUAGGGUUUGGGUCCCCAAGAAGUCGAUGAGAUACAUCUCCAAUCGACUAAAUCAAGAUAAAAGUACGGAAAUGGGAAUGAGAGGUACCUCCCACUCGAAUCGAGUGUGGUACAUACUGCCGCUCAGUACUUACAAGUCACACACAAGUAUAUCAAUUCAUUUGCAACCAGAAACGAGUAUAUAUCACAUUAGGGCAAGUGCGAUAAAGUACACUCUUGCCCGAUUAUAUCAAUCACAUAUCAUUCGAUCACAUUGGUCAAGUAUUGAAAAUAAGUGUCCAGUUCAAUCAGGGAUUUGGAAGCACUCACCAAAGAUUUAGUGCUUGUCAAAAAUCACUCUAAGUUGUAACUCCUUGGUUGGAGUCCAAAUCUGUGAUACAAUAUCAUUUAAAAACUUAAAAUCACUAGGGUUCGCAACUUAAGAGUUUCGCUUUAAACAGAUCAAGUAAAUGAAACUCGUUUAGAUAGGAUUCAUGUUUUGUAUCAAACUCUAGAAAAUUCAUGCUCGCUCUUUUGGUGUUGCUAAAGAAGCAACUAAAACUUUGGAAUUCGCAUUUUAGUCUAAAAGACGAGGAAAAUAUAUUCCGAGUGGUCACCACUUUCAUUUUUUCAAGGGUAUGAGUUUUGGCCAAAUUUUAGCUUAUAUACCUUUAUGAAAGAAGACUCGAAUACCAUAGACAAUCCAAGUUCAAUUCGACCUCAAAUCUUCGCUCAAACCGCGAGUACACACGCCUAACCUUCGAGUGAAAAUUUGGGUAGCAUGCCCUUUGUAUUUAGCUAUUUUCCAGCCAUUUAUGGCUUCAUUAUUUUCCUCAACUCAGCCCAAUUCAACAUAUAAGCAAGCUCAACACAAUAGCUAUUCAACUAGACUCAAUAUUAUCCAAUUACAAGUCAAUUCGAGCAGUGCAACCAUCCAAAUCAAAGCUAGAAGUUAGAAACUAGUUUUAAAGACAAAUAGCCACAUAGUAGGUUUGACAUCUCUCGGCAGUCACAACUGAAGCUAUGCUUAUCGGAUUGGGGUAAAUUUUAUGGCGUUUCGAAGCUAAGACAGAGACCUACAUUUCCUAUGAAGACACCAACACCCAUUUUGUGACAGCCCCACCUUCCUCUAAGACGAACCAAAGGGGUUAGCGGACUGCCUGCCCAGCUCUCGCCAGGACUAACGGUGCAGAUUAGAGCUAUCUAAUGCGUUCCGGAACUUACCAACGAGCGUAAGCAAGUCAAAAUGGCCAAAUAACCCAAAAUAAGAAAAAUGAAAUCCGGAGUCGGCCAUGAUAGUAACCGACCCGUCAGAACCCAACCGAAAGAGCACGCAAACAUUCACAUCUGAACUUUAGCAAUUACAAUCCAAAAUUUCAAUCCAAAAUGACAUACAAAAGUUUUCAAAAGUUAAUACAUAUACACGGUUUGCCAAAUCAAAAGAGAAAACGCCCCAAAAGUACACUUAGGGUUUUAAUACAUGAGCUAUACAAAAGAUAUGUUCAACUAGCUCAAUUUGGCAGCCAUUUGUCAAAUCCAGACCAAAAGGGUUUAUUUUCCUGUAAGGAAAACAAAAGGGAACAGAAAGGGGUGAGCUUGCGCUCAAUGAGGUACCAAACAGAUAGCAAUAAAAUCAUGGCAUUUCACGUUUAGCAAAUCAAGUACACAUGCCAGAUGUAAAGCAAAGGAACCAAUGAUUCAAAUCAGAAGGAUACGGGUGGCUCUCAGGAGCCAAAUUUCCAGCGCAGUACUUGAUCCAAACCAGUUGACUCUCCGUCAACGUAUAUAGAACCAACGCGUCCGUAGACCCCUCUUUACACCGAAUUCCGUCCACCAAACACCCUUUUACCGGGCCCGCUCACCUCAACAGAAACAGAAAUGGUAAUACUCGAGUAUACCCGGAAUCAAGGGUCUCAAUACCCAAAGAUCCCAAAACAGACUACCGUGGUUCGUUAUCUAAUCGUCCAGGCCCUUGCCGGCCCGACUCGAAUAACUUAGCCACAGGAUUUGAGCUUAUAGGUCACAGAAAGGUCGUUGGACUCAAGCUUCCAAACGACGUCAGAACAGAUACAGAUCCAGAUACAGAUAACAGAUACAGAUACAGAUACAGAUAGCAGAUUCAGAUACGCGUUCAAAAUUGGCAUAUGAACAGACCAGAGAAUGAGUGUGAUAAAGUACACCCUCGCCUCCAUUUUAUCAAAACAGUAUUUGGCUUCAAUAGUCAUAAAUCAAGUAUUCAGAUAUUCAGAUAUUUCACAUAACGGGUAGCAGGUAGUGGAACACUCACCCGCUCAACUUCAAAAGUUUUCACUUCAGAUUGGCCUUAAUCGCCAAGAAACCCUAAAAUAAUCAAAAUAAACCAAUUGAAGGUUUCACUUCCAGAAUCGAGUAAACAGAAUGCACAUGUGAGGCUCGACUACUAGUCGUAAGCCUCGCCAAAUAAUUACUAAUGCAAGGGUGCAAAACAUGAUUUUUGGGAACAAAAAGGUAACAUGAAAACCUAGGUUCAACAACCCAAAAGCCCUUCAUUUCUACCAAAAGGCAAAUCCAACUCAAAGGAACCAAACGGCCUAGAAAAUCGGGCAGCACUUCCCCUAAAAUUCUUACUUUUCCAGUCAUUAAGGCUUCAUUAUUUCCUCGAAUCAGUCCCAACAUCUCACACAAAAUUCACCUCAUUUCCCAAAAGCCAUUCACUAGGCUCAAAGUAGUACAAGUACAAAAGUUAGCUAGGAAAUGACCGGAAUAAGAGUAAGCCUUAAAACAUGUAAACAAGUACAAUGAGACUCGAUAACGAAUCAUAAAUCAAUGCCAAAUAUGACCCCAAUAGGGUUCCAUAAACAUAUACAAACAUUAGAGAAAACCAGAAAAUUCGGAAAUGCAAUUAGCUUUGGCCUUGAAAAAACAGUUUUUGACCUCUUUUUACGGUAAUGGCACCAAAUGCCCUAGAAUUAUCGGAUGAAGGUGUAAGACCCACCAUUUCGAAGCUAAAAGACAGGGCUAAAACAUCACAGAAGGUCACUCAACCCAGUUUUGAGUGCAAACAGGUCAAAAAUGCAAGAUACCACAUCAAAACGUAAAACAGAUUCACCAAAACGCAUUCUAGCGGAAACAUCAUAACUCAGGCUCUACAAGUCUAAAUCCAGAAAUUCCAAAACCAGCUGAAAGCUAAGAAACAGGGAUAAAUUUCAUCAGAAGGCCUCAACAACUCAUUCGGAAUCAAUACAGACCAAAACAACCAAUUACAGAAGCAAAUCCCAAUUUCGGGUAAAACCAGAACAGCAAUAGUAAUUUCGACUUAUCUCAUUCUACACUACUCCGAUUGACCUGAAAUUUUUUAGGUACCUAUAAAAUAUCAUUCCCUACAACUUUCGUGUUUUGAGCUAAGGCCAAUUCGGCCUCUAUCUAUGACCUAAAAUUUCGGACAGAAUGAAGAACCAAGGAACCCUAAUUUUCCAGAUUUCUUCCAAAACAGAAAUUGAUUGCAAUUGUCCACUUUUUCCACCUCCUAUAGUCAUUAGAAACCAUAACCAAUCAUCAUAGAUAACCACACCAUCAUACUUAUAUUAAAACAGAAAAAUCCCCAAAAAUUACCAAAGUUCAUCAAUUCAACCAGGAAUCACAAUAUAAUCCAUAAAGUGGCACCUUAUACCACCACUAAGUAUCAAUUAAGCAUCAUUAGAGGGAGGAGAGUGGUACUUCACAACUUACCUUUAAAACAAGAGAGAGAGAGCUA